GAUAUUUUCUAUAAAACAAGGUGGAAUCGGGCCAUUAAGGUAGUUAUAUGAUAGAUCAAGGGCAUCCAGCUCUGUGGCAUUGCAAAUUGAGGGAGAUACAUGGCCGUGUAUAGGGCCAGAAAGCUGGUUGAAAGAGAGAUCAAGGUGAGUUAAUAUAGGAAGACUGAAAAUAGAUGGUGGAAUCUCCCCUGGAAGGACAAUAGAAAACAUUAAGUUAGAAAGUGUUUCCCCUUCUACAAAUUGAAAUCAGAAGAUGCUACCUUCUAUUUUGUUCAGAACAUGAAUACUUGACCCUUUCUCAAGAAAAGUAAAAGUUGAUAUCGUACCAUAGAAAUAUAUAUCCCAAGUUUAUUUAUUUUAUUUUGAGAAAAUUGCAUUACUAGUCUCUAAAUAAAUGGCCAAAACUUGUGUGGUAACCUCGCCGACCCUUGCACUUGUUGCAAAUUACUUUCCCAACCCCCUCAUCUUUGUUGUGCCACGUGUUAGGCAAUGGUUCGAUGCUGGUUCAACUCAUUAAUUUGCUAAUAGUGGGGUGGGUGAGAUUAGUGUGCAAGUUUAAGGACUACCGGAAGAAUUUAGUGCACCUACGGACCAUAGAAUUUCAUAAUCGUAGGACCCAUGAAGCUGAAAUGAUCCGGACCCAUCAUGGAUCAUAAUUUUAUGGUAUUAUGAUUUAUGAUACCCAGUGUAUAGUCCUGUACCAUCAAAAUGAAUUGGUAAGAUCACUUAUAUAGGAUCCCCAUCCGAACAUCAAAAUUUGUUAAUAUCUGAAAUUAAGUAAAUCCAUGAGUAAUUAUAUAUGUUUCUUCAGUUUAAUUCAACAUCUUUUACUCUUUGCAUGACAUCUGACCAUUAAUUGUUUUAAAUUAUGAUUAGAUAAUGUUUGGAGUUAAGUUGAAAUGUAGAAUUGACAUUGACAUGAAUAAGUGGACUUGAGUUUACAAGAAUUAAUAAAUUUAUAAAAAAUAGCAUUGUAGAUUUCUUUUCAAGAACUUGUUUAACUUUUUAAUAUAUGCAUUUUUUACUCAUUACGCUGCAAAAUCCUCCCCCAAAGUUCUUGACACAAUGUCAAACUCAUUUGUUGUGUUUAACCUCUUGCAAUGAUCUAUAUAAGCUGCCAGCUUUUGUAUAAGAGGGCCGGGGUUAGAGAAGUAUAUCGUGUCAACUGCACCAAUGAAGUUAUUUUAGAGUAAACUAGAGCAAAUGAGAAGCUUUAUGAGCCCUAAUACCCAUUUAAGAUUUCCAUUGUUAAUUAUUUUAGUAUUCAACAUUGAGUCAACUUUUCUAAAUAAAAGUUGAUUAGGCUUUUACACAUAGUUUGAAUCAUAGUUAAAUGAUUUAGAAUGAUAUCCAACUUGAAUCAUAAAGUAUACAUUUAGAUGUUUCACAUAGUUUGGCUUUUCUAAAAGUUAAAUGUUUAAAUGAUAUCAUUUAUACUUCAAUAUUUACAAUUAAAAUAUGGAUAAAUUAUAACUCGGUUUUCCCUAAUUAUUGAUAAAAUGACCCAUGUCAAUAUGAAUGUGUUUUCUAAAUAAACUUUGUCUAGCCCAACACGACAGAUGUAUUAAUUCGAUAAGAUGUGUUCAUCUUUCUAAAGUUAAGUGUGUAAUGGGUAUAAUUUAUACAUGAACAUUUAUGAAUAAAAUAUGAUAAGGUUUUACCUCAGUUUUUGUAAAUAAAGUAUAAUUUGCAUUAAUUCCAACAUAGGUUAUUUUUCUUUCUAUAGUAUCCUUCACAUAUGUUUUGUUAAUUAAAAUAAACUGGGUGUGACAAGAGCAAUCUUGGUUCAAAUCCUAUAUACUGCACAUGUGCAUAUUUUGUGUGAGAAAUUGUAUGAUGUGUGACAGCUAGAAAUUUGCUAGCUACAUAUACCUAACUUUUUAUGCGCGGGUGCGGCUGACUAGCUUCUCCAGAGCAAGCAGACUCAUGCCCCUCCAGGUGUAGUUUGGUCAAGGAGGGAGCAGAGGCGCCGGCCACCUCAGAAAUCUGUCACGGUUUAACUUGUCACUUGUGGCAUGUCGGGCGUAGGGCUAUGUUUUUUUUAACUAAAUAGCACAGAAUGGAUAAUACAGCAUUUUGCAAUCGCAAAUAUGUGUGCGUUUGUGGGUAGGGGUAUUGUUACGUACCGUUGAGAGAAUUAAAAGAAAGAUCCAGCAUUGUUAGCUGGGUCAAAUUAACUAUUGAGCUUGGUACGCUUCCGGAAAAAUUGCAAACUCGAAGAACCAAAUUUGUGAGUUCACCAAUUGCAGCUGGCAUUGGUCCUGAAAACCCACAUGAUACUAUAUACAUGUUUCUCAAAUUUGUGAGUUGCCAAUUGGAGCCGGCAUUGAACCUGAAAACCCAGAAUGCUCGAUAUACAUGUUUCUCAAAUUUGUGAGCUUGCCAAUUGCAGGCGGCAUUGGUCCUGAAAACCCAACAUCCUCGAUAUACAAGUUUCUCAAAUUUGUGAGUUCACCAAUUGCAGCUGGCAUUGGUCCUGAAAACCCAACAUCCUUGAUAUACAAGUUUCUUAAAUUUGUGAGUCCACCAAUUGCAGCUGGCAUUGGUCCUGAAAACGUAGAUAAUAUAUGCAAGUUUCUCAAAUUUGUGAGGUUGCCGAUAGAAGAUGGCAUGGAGCCAUAUGUUGUGCAAUCAUCCAUUGCAAGUGUUUGCAAGCCCGUGAGGUUUCCAACUGCAUGAAGUACUGGCCUAGGGAGGUUGCAGUCUUGGAUUUUCAAGUUUUUCAAGUUCAUGAAGUUGCUAAGUAAGGUAGGCGGUACCCCAGAGAAGUUACAUCCAAAGAGUCCCAAACUUGUUAGGUUUUUGUGCUGGCCAAUCCAUGAGAAAAUUGGACCUAAGUCGCUUCCUGAGUCCAAAUCGUGGUCCAACUCAUUAUCCAAAAAACAAUCAAGGUCCAACUGGUGUAGAGACUCAAGUCUACCGAAUGCAGAGAGAAAAUCCAUAGAAAUUAAAUUCCUUUUAAGACCCAACUCCUUCAACGAUGUGAAAUUACUAGAAGGCGUUGGUAUGUCAUAUACCAAGUUGGUCCCAUCAAGUCUCAAAGUCUCUAAAGAGCUGGCAUUAGAAAAGUUUGGCACAUGGCCUGAGAGAUUCAUAUUAUAGGACAAAUCAAGGACCCUUAGAUUUUUUGAUUGAAAGGGUCUAGAUGGUAACGGCCCCUCAAGAUCUGUCUGAGAAAGUUGAAGCACGGUUAAAUUGGGAAAAUCCAUGAAGAACUCUGGAAAUGGACGACCACUAGGUUCAUAAAAGUUUUCUUGGAGUUUGAUCACAACAAGAGAAUGGAGUCUCGAGAGCGCUUUAUGAAUAGGACCACUCAGGUGACAAUCAGCUAAACUAAGUACCUGAAGUUGAGGAACAUAUGCAGCAAGAGAUGUGCCCCACUCUUCUCCACUAUUAGACAAAUCCACCGAGUCAAGGUAGAGCUCUCUUAAGUUGCUGAGGUUUACCACAAAGGUAUCAAAACUUGAUUCCCAUAAAUAGUUAUAAUAAUCAUAAUAGUUUGGACCAUAAAAACCGAGAGAAUAAUCAAUAUUGUAUGUUGAAAGAUCCAAUGAGAGAAGGUUCACUAGUUUACUGAUGCUAGGAGGUAUCUGACCAUAUAAUCCUGAAUUGGAAAGGUUUAGGUGGGUUAAAAAAGUGAACCUCUCAAAACCAGCAGAACGGAUGUUGUCUCCACCGAUGUCAUUCAUGCUAAGGUCGAGUCGCCGAAGUGAUAUGAGGCUGAAGAGUGCAGGGUCCAAGCCAUGACUUGACAAGCAACGGUUGUUGAGGUCGAGAAUGGUGACAUGGCCAGACGAAGGGUCACAGCCAACACCCUCCCAGAGACAACAGUCGGUACCAUUUCGCCAUGAUGAAAGCCUGGUGGUGGAUCUGUGAAGGAGAAGGACUUCUUCAGCUGGAGGAGCGCCUUAGCUUGGUUUGGAUGGCACAAAAAUGAGACAGGGAGGUGAGUGAGGUUACCACCAUCAGCACGGUGGGCAAUAGAGGUGGAGAGUAGUGUGUGUAGCUGAGCAAGAAAGAGCAGUAACACCCAGCCGAUGGAAGCCAUAGCAACUCAGUAUGAGCCGAUGAUAGGCUUACAAAGAGGCACAAGGCAGAUACAUAGUAAUGCGUGACAGAUUGUUAUGCAGCUUCCAGCUGCUGUCAAGUCUUCGUCCAUUAAUAAAUUAAUUAAUUUACGAGUACCAUGGCUAAGCUGUACGCAAUUGCGACACCUGAGGAGACUUGACUGUACCAUGGGCUAGCUGUACGCAAUUGCUACACCUGAGGAGACUUGAUUAGCCUUUCGUCAAAUGCUGUUGGUAUCAUCCACUGCUACAACAGUGACCGGUAAUUGGAAGUCUCACUAUAGCAAGACUUCCAAGUCAACUAAGCCGGCCGCUACAUUCUGAGGAAGGUGGAAUUGAAGAUCAAAUCAAGUUGGGCGUUGGGAUGAAUUAGUCCGCACUCCGCAGAUAACAACAUCGAAUAUGCUGAUCUGAUGAUGUGCUUCAUUUUCUUUUUGGUUGGAGUGGAGCGGCAUCAAGAUCCUACUGCUGUGGAAAACACUGACUUGACUCGUUUUAUCUCGCACAAAACGUGGCUGAAGAUGAUAGUGGUGCUUAAAGAAUCAGCGAGAAGGAGCAAGUAAAAAUGCAGUUGAGCUGCAGCUGAAACAUGUCGCGACGUAUUCCAGCCGCGGUAGUUCUCGUCUUCUCGAAGAAGACGUUGCAGUGUUCACGUCUAGAGCUCAUCCAAUCCAUAGCGUUCCUCCGGCCGAACCGUGCGAUACGAAGGAGACGUCGCGUCACAUGCAUGUUCCUCAGGUCGCCUUUGCCUACGACCAAUAAGACGAUGACACCAGAACCUUUUUGUUUUUUUUUCUAAUCAGCAGCUUUCAAAGCGGGUACCCGCGGACAGCGCUGACCGUGUCAAAUUUGGCGAGCAUUAGCCGCAGUUGCACUCGUCCACCACCACUGAUUGCUGAAGCUCCCUACAAUACAGGGUAAGGAACAUCUAAGAUCUGAGCAAGUAAAGUCAGGAUAUUUAACUAUUUGUCAUUCUUACGGAUGGUGCUCCUUCAAAAACAACUCUAACGAAUUCCUACAUAUCUGUCAUUGAAGAAAGAAUUAGUCUAAACUUUUACCAUUUUUGCAGAUGUGGUGAGCCACGUCCUCGUGCUAGCGUGAAUUGAGCUGGCAAUGACCAUAGUGCCCCUGCCUCCCUCACCUUAGCCAUCCCCUUCCCUCUAUCCUGCCACACCUAUUGCUGCAUGGUCUUUCGUUGUUGUGCGGCUCCUCUGUGGUACAUCGCAGGGGAGGAUACCACGACUUGGAGGUGCCGGGGGGGAGGAGGAUACCGUGUUGAUGCGCAAAUCUAGGUGUCCACUCCUUCAUUGAAGGAUAUCCAAACACGGCCUAUUCACAGACAUGGCCACUUAACUUUCAGCUUACAUCUCUUGAUGUGUAAUAUGGCUCUGUUUGGCAUGGCUCCAACUCCAGGUUUUGCUGCUCAACUUCGGCUGGAGCUAGCUUUGCUUGGAGUUGGAGUUGGAGUUGUGUGGAUGGGAUGUUUGGUAGAAGGGUACCCAGCUCCAAAAAAAGAGGAUUUUCAUAGUUAAUUGCCAUUUUUGCCCCCUGGCCCCACAUGUCAUCCUCUGUAAUACCAAUUUUUUUCCUUUUUUGUGAGCUUAUAUUCUUCCUUGGGACUGAAUCAGCUCGUCUGCUCGCCCAUGGCCCGCGAGGCCUGGCUCGAUUCACCCUACCCAAGCUAGUAACCAGAUAGAGUCAGCAGCGCACCGGAUGGGGGCUAGCAGUGGCAAACAGUUCUAGGUCGGCAGCAGGCGGAUCACAGGACGUUGCCGAUGCACGGGAUAGAGCUUGCGGCGUGUAGAAUGGGCGCGGCGUAGGAUGGGGCCAGCUGGCGACGUGCAGGAUGGGGUGCGCGGGGUGGGGCCAGCGGCGUGUAGGAUGGGUGGGCGGUGCGCGGGACGGAGCCACCGCACAGGAUGGUAGUGGUGUUGGAUGGGUUUAGCGGCGCGCAUGAUGAGGUUGACAUGUAGGACAAUGGCGGUGCGCAAGGGGAACGAUGGCUCCAGCCCUCACGCGCGAUGGCGGAGGCGCAAGGUGAUGGUGACGGCGCAUAGUUGGAUGGCGGCAGCGGCAAGGAUCAAGGAGCAGCGGCACGUGGGCUGAGGGUUGGGUCCUGGGCUAGGGGCGGCACAUGGGUUGGUAGUCACGAGGGAGAUGAAGGUUGUGGGAACAGAUGAAGCGGGGGGGGGGGGAUAGAACCGAAACAUUUUCUUGUGUAACCGACGGUAGUGGUGGGUAAGUAUCUUGUAACUCCACGUCUAGAUACGUUUCGCAGUGUUUUGGAUCUGUGAAAGUGGUGUUCUACGAAAAUGAACUAGAACUCCAAUAACUCCAUGAAGUUAGACUGCUUCAUUUUUUUUUGGAGUUGGGGUGUUUGGCUGGCUUUAUUUUUUGGAGUUCGGGUAUUGUUUUAUUUACAUGGCUUUCCUAUAUAUCUACCGAAAGAUAAUUACUUAUAUAUCGCCUGAUGUUUGAGACUGGUGCAGUGCAAAUAGACCAUGAAGACUGUGGGGAGCAAGAAAUGCAUGCACUGACUACAUACGUGACCAUGGAGUUGGACAAUGACACGUGUCAUCAACUGAAAUGUUGGACGUGGUGGGACAAGUGGGUGAGAGUGGCUUGUUUGAAUUUCAAUCUUUAAAAGAACUUUAUCUCUUAAAUCACAAGUUAUUUUUAAAUCUAUUUAAUUUGAACUGUGGCAUUUCUUUGAAUCGAUUCAACAAAUAAGGUCCAAUGAAAUAUUUUAAAUGUUUUUUCAAAAAAUCAAAUAUACUAGCUCAUGUUACAUAUACUAAUUUAAUAUUUUGAAUAUACAAUUUCAACAUUGUAAUUAAAUUGAUUCAUGUUUUAUAUAACAUGUAAACAUUUUGAAAUAAAAAAUUUUGAUCUAGUUUUUCCAAAAUGUUGACUUAUGGUUUGAAAAUUGUUGAAUAUAGUUGUUUCAAAUUGUUGAUCUAGUUUUUGAAAAAUGUGAAAUCUAAUGUUUUUGAAAUGUUGAUAUAUGUAUUGCAAAAUGCUGAACAUCAUUUUUUCAAUGUUGAUCUAGGUUUCAAAAAAAAUGUUCAAUCUAGUAUUUAAAAAAUGUUGAUCUAGGUUUUGCAAAAUGUUGAAUAGAGAUUUUUAAAAUGGGGAUGUAUGUCCGGCACAAUGUUGAAAAAAAAACAGAGUUGGAAAUCAAUAUACAUGUGUGAGACCAGAUACACAGGUUAGCUCACACUUGACAAUAGCGCAGGUUUUGUGCAAGGCCAGAUGCUUGAGCACAACACACUUAUUUACCCAAAAGAAGAUUAACAAGUACAAGAAGUAACAGCAGAAGAAAGACCAAAGUAUACCGCAACACCUCAUCAGAUCACAGAUCCUUCACUUUCACUAGAGCAUAAUUCAUUCCUUCGAAAGUCACACCUUCCAGCAGCGUUCAAGUUCUAGAAACUCUUGCAGUUGCAAUAAACCAUCUGCCAACCCGAUUCCAUCUCACCAGAAUAGCAGCUGCGAAUCCGACACCAAAGCCCAACCCGGCGAAGAGAAACAAGACCACAUCAACAUGAUGAAAUGACUUGUCUACCUGUGCAACACCAGGAGUGUAAGGUGAAGCGCCAUAGGGUAACUUUGACAGCGGUGGCCCGCACAGUCCAGCAUUUCCUUCAAAUGAACUGCUGUCAAAUAUAUGUGCAGAACUGACGCGAUUGCGGUAUCUUCCCCACCAAUUUUUUUUGAAACUGUAGACCCGGCUGAGAUUAUCGGACUUGUAUUAAUUAAUAGAGAAGAGAGUCACAGGGCCUAAGCCAAAAAUAAAGGAAAAAAUAUAUAUUGAAAUUACAAAUUGGCGGUGUGAAACGGCGAUCAUUCGUCGAUUUGGCAGAUAGAGCCUAAGUGCCUUGCUCCCACUAAAAUCCAACAUCGCGCCUCCUCCUUGAUUUUGCCGAGUAGUUGGUCGAGGCUUUUGAAUUUUUGUUGAAAAACUCUAGCAUUGCGCUCCUUCCAGAUUUCUCAAGACACCAGAAUGAUCAGUGAUCUGAAACCCUUCAGCGGGGUGCCACUCAUUGACCCUAGUUGUGUCCACCAUUGGCUCACAGAUGAAAUUGUAGUCCAAUCUCCUCUAGGCGGGAUGUGUGCAGCCGUCCACUCAAAUAUUUUGUCCCAGACUCGUAGAGCAGAUGCAAUAAUAUUUCGUCGUGCGAGUGACAAAGCAUGCAUACUUUUUGAUUGGGCCAUCCUUGCGUAAUCAAGCGAUCUUCCAUCCACAGUCUGUUUUGAUAGGCGAGCCAUGAGGAGAAUUUGCACUUCGGUGGUGCCCAUGUUCUCCAGAUUAGGUGCUCCAUGUCCGAGGGUAUUGAAGAUUGGAACCGCACCAUGUAUGCCGAAGUUGUUGUGUAUUCACCGUGCUUGGUCAGAUUCUAGGUGAUGGAGUUUGGUGUUCCCGGGUUGAGCUAGAUUGAUCUUGUUCCGGCUCAAAGGAGAGUCAAUUCUGAGAGAUGUGUCGUUGAUGAUAUGAUGGCCACAUUGAUGUCCUAAAUCCACCUGUCGUUGGUUAUGGCAUCCUGACCGUUCUUCUCUUGUUUUUUGAAAUUUUAUACACCGACGGCGCAAUAUUUCUUAGCGCUUCCCCCUGCAGCCAUACCGAGUCCCAGAAUUUGGCCUUCUCCCCAUCUCCUAACGUGAUGGUCAUUGCAGACGCGAACAACUUUUUAUCCUUGUCGUUGUACGGUGUUGGCAUACCGACCCACGGUUUGCGUGGUUCCUUCCAUUCGUGCCAUAACCAUCAUAGUCUCAAUGCUCGUGUGAACUUCUUUAGAUGCAGUAUUCCUAGGCCACCAAGUUUAGUCAGUUUGCAUGCUGUGUGCCAUGCCACUUUACACUUGCCGCCGACAAUCUGAUCUGCACCAGUCCAGAGGAAACGCUUCCUUCAUUUGUCUAUUUCUUCCAGUAUCGUUGCUGGGGCGUUUAGGGCAGAGAGGUAGUAGAUCGGUUGUGAUGAGAGGACCGCCUUGACUAGUGUUCUUCUUCCCGCUGGGUGAGCAUCUUGCCAGCCCAGUUGGCUAAUCUUGCGUUCUCUUUGUCGGAUAAUGUCUCAAAGUGAGCCUUUUGUAAUCUGCCUAGUGUAGUCCUAGGUAUUUGACUAGGAAGGUUGCUCUUGCUGCUGGGAAGGGGGCUAGAAUCGAAUCCAGCUCGAGUCUAUUGCAACAUAUGGGUGCUACCGAGCUUUUCUGAUUGUUAGUGAUUAGCCCGUUGACUUUGCCAAAUUUGUCUAACAGCUCUUUGGUGUUCCGAACAUUCGCAGUUGUCAGAUUAAUGAAAAUUACCGCAUCGUCCGCGUAUAACGAUAGGCGUAAGCGGGCACCACCGCAUCUCCUCCACCUCAAACCAAACCCUAGCUCCAAGCCGCACACGCUAACAUCGACACCCGAGCCACCGCAACCCUAGCUAGCCACACGCCGUCGUCGAUCCGUGCCGUCGCUGCAUUUCCGUCGCCAAGAAGACCCCCAGGAGCUUUGCCGCAAGGUGAGGAAGCCCCUGGUGUGGCUCUUGUGCGCUCCCAUGCCUCUCUCCACGCGCACGAGCUCGCCGGAGUUCGGCAAGCUCGGUUGGGCCGCCUCAUCGAGCCUCCGGCCGCCACUAGCGCCCAAUCCUCCUCCUCAACACCCUAGAUCAACUCUUCGUGUCUGUAGCUUUCUCCAGGGCCAGAUCCUAUUGAAAAUUGUACCUGGAAACUCAAUUCUGAGCAAAGUCCAGCAUGUCGCCGCCGCGUGCCGCUCGCCUCCGCCGCCCGCGCACCGUCGAUCUCCUCUCGGUAGCUGCUAGCCGUACGAUCUGCUUUCGACAGCUCAGAUCCAAUCUAAUCCGAGUCAAACCAGCCGCGUACCGGUCAAACCCCAUGCUGCGCUGUUCGUUUUUCUAAAGAGUCCCUGGGUUUCGAGGUUUUUGCACCUGAGGUCCAGCGUAGUUCAAAGAUCAUUAGAUCUAGGUCCUUUUUCUUCUGUUCUAGCCCCUGAGCUUUUGCAAAAUAGUGCCCACCAUCCUAGAUCCUCUCUUUUGCGCGUUAAACCUUUGGUUUAUCCGCGUAUUUAUGUUUUAGCCCUCGGUUUCUCCAAGCUUAGCUUCUGAAAGUUUUAAAUCUUUGCCAACAAGCUCAUGCACCUUGUUUAGUGCAUAUCUUUAGCGUUUUAGGUCCGUUUUCAGUGCUUCCUGUGUCUAUGAGUUUGUCUUUACGCAUAGAUUAGUUUUAUGAUCUUAUUUCUCUCUAUUGUUACUGAUUGAUGUAAUGUUUUCUUAUUUUAUUCCUUUGCUUGCUUGUAUGUGAUCGUGUGAUGGGUCAGAAGGACUGCAACUCGAGGGAUUCGGAGGUCAAGACUUUGAAGACUAUGAGCAGCUGGAGCAAAUCCAAGAAGCCAAGUUGUGCCCCUGUUCACAACUAAACCUAUGAAACUUUUUACUUUCCUGUUCAAUAACAUUUAUGCCAUGCACUUUAAGUUACAAACAUAAUGGAUCCUAACUAAGGAGUGACUAGUUUUAUUCCCAGUAUAUUGAUCAACCCGGGCUUACAUAAUGUUGGGUAGUACAUGCUUAGUUUCUCAACUUGGGUAUGGUGGUAUUAGUGAACUUGAUGGUUAAACUUGUUUUAUUUAUGCUGUGCUUUUCAUUAACACAAGAUCACCAUGCUUAAAAUUGGAACAUGGAGAACCACCCGGGAAAACAAUACAACCACAAGAACUAAAUGGAUCUGGUCUUGGCUAAUUAAUUAGAGACUUUAGUCUGGGGUAAUCUUACCGAAAGGGCAAGAGGGGCGGUGGCAGAUGGGGUAUAACCCGGUCCUCUUGUGAAGUGAGCUUUGCUAAGAUACUAUGCCCACUAGGGAGGUUUAUACUCUGCAACUGAUCUGGAAACCUUAGCGGGUUACCGCUUACUAGGGGAUCUUUGUAAAGACCUCGUAGCGUCCCUAUGCAAUCACACCUCGGUAGUGUGGUAUUGUGCCUAGCCCGCACAGCAUGGUUGGGUCUAAAGUUCUUUUGAACUUUUACGCGACUUGUGGGUAAAGAUGUGCAACCUCUGCAGAGUGUAAAACUGAUCGAUCAGCAAUGCUCACGGUCAAGAGCGGCCUGGACCCUCACAUGAUUAAAUUAUCGGAAGUUGAAUUAAAUUAUUGUUAUUUAUUUCUGUUAUCUUUAUUUAUGUUCAUGCUUAAUGUGGGUGGUAUAAACUUACAUUUAGUAAAUGCUAAUAAAACUUGACCAACCAAUUAAAAUGCUGACUUGCUAAUCAACCUUAGCCUAUCCUUGAACAGCCUUACACUACACAUUCCUCACGCUUGCUGAGUACCAACCAUAAGUGUACCCACCCUUGCUAAAACCGCUACUCAAAAUAAGUCAACGAUGUGGAGCUCUUCCAAGAUUGGGAGGAGUACUAGGCGUACGUGUUUCUCCAAUCAUCUGCCUGUGAAGUCGCCGUUUUCGUUGAAGAUCCGCUACGAUAAUAAUAUUCUUUUUGCUAUUCAGUUUAAAAGACUAUCGGUCAUGUAAUAAUUGUAUACUCUCUCUACGUUAUGACAUUGUCUUUGUUACUCACUGAAGUCGUCGCAUGUGUGUAAUUUGAUCCCGGUGCACAUGUAAUUUAUGCAUUAGUUUUGCAUUUAAAAUUGGGUGUGACAGAGAGAUACAUGGCCUUUUAUAUUGCUUCUGGACAUGCUGAGAUAUCUGGUGUCCCUAAGAUAGGAAGCCCAGUUGGGUGGGACGGAAGAGAAUCUGUUGUUGGAAUAUCCCAAGAAAGAAGCUGAUGCGUUUGGCAUUGGGAUCUGCCCUAAAAGCUUAUUGAAACUAAGAUCAAGCACUAGUAGUGAUUUACUAAAAGGGAGAACAUCCGAAGCAAGUUGCAUGCCCGUAAGCACGUUAUGCGAAAGAUUCAAAUAAUAAAGGCUACUACUGCUCCAUGUCUCCCAGAUCCGAUUUGGUAUAUCCCCACUGAUUUUAUUAGAUGAAAGAUCCAAAUAUUGUAUAUUUUUAAGACGCAUCAAAGAUGUUGGGAAUCGAAUUAUAUUGCAAGACGCGAGCCCUAAAUAGUAAAGUCUGGCCAAAUAGGUAGCCAAAGGAUUAUUACCAUCUGCAUCCGUGACAUGCAACUCAUUGUAGGAAAGAUACAAACUGGUGAGAUCACUUAAUCUCCAAAAAUGGGAGAGGUUCACGGAACCUAUCAACUUGUUCGAGCUAACAUCUAUAUGUACCAAACUUGUUAGUUGAAAGAAGGCCAUGGGAAUAAAACCUGACAGAACAUUGUUGCUCAAGCGCACUUUCGCCAACCGUGAUUCUGCCUUGUCAAAGCCAUAUAUGGGGCCAGAAAGUUGGUUGUAAGAAAGAUCCAGGACACUUAAUGCAGGAAGACUGAAUAUAGAUGCUGGAAUCUCUCGUGCAAAGACAAUAGAAAACAUUAAGUUAGAAAGUCUCCUCUUCUAGAAAUAUCUGAAUUCAGAAAAUGAUGGCUCCUAUUUUGUUCAGAACAUGAUAAGUUAUGCCACUGAUACUGUACCAGCGAAAAAGCUCCCAAGCCUAGUUAUUUUAUCCUUAGAAAAUUGCAUGACAUGGACUCUAAAAGCCAACACUUUAUGUGGUUACACUUAAAGAGUGUUUUGUUUCACCACUCAGUCCAACUGCAGAACGUGCGGCUAGCGGCCUUCACGGAGGAGCAAACUGGAGCGCAAGAGGAGAAAAUCACCAGAAUCAAGAGAGCUGGGGUAGCAAAUCGCCCAUUUGUUCCUGUUUUGUUGGCGUGCUGUUUAUGGGUAGUGUUGUUUAUUUUUAGGUGUAUGCAAAAAGUAUUCUUGAUGAAAUAUGUUGCAUCACAUAUUCUAGAAUAAAAAAGUGAAAAUAUUGGUGCUCUGUUGAAUUUCAAUUAUAUUGCUGGAAUUCCUUCCUCCAUUUUUUUCUUUUUCCUUUUCUUCAAUUUUCAAUUAUGUUUGAUGGAAUUUCUUUGAUUCAAAUUCGACUAUAAUUUAUUGAGCUUCAUGCACCAAUCGGUUGCACCUAAAGUCUUAACCCGAUUUGGAAGGACGAUAGUUCUAUUAUACUUCAACAUAAUUAACACUCAAAUUCCAAGGAAAACCACUUCAAAUCCCAACAGCCAAGUGGAGCCACAUGGGUAUAGUGGGGAUUUAGGACCUCAUGUUAUACUUGUGCAUUUAACAAAGGUUAGCAACUCUAUUAUAUUUUAAGAGUUUAGGAAUCUAGAUGACUUCAAGGAAAAAGUUCAGAGAUCGAUAAUCAUUAGGAAUAGCCAGACUUUUGGUCCUACAUCGAUUCUUUUUUUCUUAAGCGGCUGGCACCAUUACACUGCCCGACAUAUAUUGAUAGGGUAGGAGGUCUUACAUCCAUUCCACUUGUACAGCAACUAGUGUAACUCAAGGGCUAAACAAUGUGCUCCAAAAAUGCUUGAACAAGUAAACACAAGCCUGAGCAUAUAUUGGGGCCGUUCGGUUGAGCUGGCUGCUGCUGUUAAGCAGCACAGCUGAUCAGCCGGCCAUGCAGCUGCUACAGCAGCGCAUCAGCUAGGCAGUGGCGCAUCAGCUGGGCAGCAGCGGCUGCAGGCAGCUACUUUUGUACCCAGCGAUCAAGUCAAGUUUUGAAAACAAACAAUGUUGUAAACUCAGUUGGAACUGGAUUAUAUAAAAGGCAAAAUUCAAUGAGCAAACAAAGGUCACUUUAAACAAUCAUUGAAAGAGCAAGUACAAAUAUUUUUUGAUUGAGGCUUCAGAAUAUAAUUGCAACAAAUUACAGUACAGAACCACAUUGAUAAUAUUCAGAUGACUAACCUAUUAAAAUAAGAUCACAAAUGCAUACCAUAUUUCAUGAUAAUGUGACCAGUGAAUCAUUAAUUCAUCUAAAAGACACAUUUUUUUUCAGCUCCUUCAGAAAAAAGAAAUACCGUGACAAGCAUUGCCGUCUCAGCUCCUUGAUUGUCUUUAAAAGUAACGUAGGCAAGCAGACAAACAGAGAAAUAGGCCCAAUAUAUUGACUAAAUAUAUGAUACAAGCACAACCACAUAUCUGCAGACAGUGAUAUGAACCAAAUCACCAGAAGCGCUAUCCAUAACUCUCAAACACCUCAUUUUAGUUUCCAAGACCUGGGCACCCUGAUAACAGUCUAGUCUAGCACAAAAUAAAUGGCAUGCAUAUUGAACUCAAGAGUACACAGGGCAUACAAUUAGAACAUUUUAGCCCUACCCUACAAUAGUUGAUCAGUGCUUUCUCAAGUCACAACAACAACAAAUUAGAAAGAAAUUGAUAGGUUAUAUUCAUAACAACAAAAUAGCAAAUUGAGAAAAUAUCUCCGUCAUGUCAACCCAUAAAGUCCCGCUGCAAUCCAAUCACGAACUUUACUAAUAUCAUCGUUGGCAGUAGCGGCAAACCAAUCUGAUGCAGGAUCAUUUUCAUCACUUGUCCUACUAAGAUAGGUCCCAUGAGCAAACAUGUCAGCACCAACCAUUCCCGGUUCGUUGUUGUCCAAUGCAAAAUUGUGUAGCGCAAAGCAUGCAACAAUAAUCUUUGAUUGCUUCUCCAUAUUAUAUAACGGUAUACCUCUUAGAAUCUGCCACUUAUUCUUUAGCACUCCAAAAGAUCGUUCCACAACAUUCCGAAGGCACGAAUGAUGGUAGUUAAAAAUUUCAUUCAAAUUCUCAGGACCUUUGGCAUUAAACUCCGAUAAAUGGUACCUGCCCUUGCGAUAUGACGCCAUAUAACCCUCACGCAGUGGGUAACCAGAAUCCACCAAAUAGUACUUUCCUACAUAUCAACAUUGUUAUACAAAUAGCAAUUUAGAUUGGCACUCCCAUAUGUUGCAUACUAUAAAACUUACAAACAACAUAAGAUCACCUUGGGGUGGGUGAGGGAAAUGCUCAGCUUGGUUUAAAGCCUCCCUCAAAAUAGCAGUGUCAUGCACAGCACCCUUCUUCCCCGUAGCGACAAAUGUGAACCUCAUGCCCAUGUCACAAACGGCUAAGACAUUCUGGCUGGUGAACCCCUUUCUAUUGAUAAAAUCAUCAUGUGCGUGCUCAGGGACUGACACCGGAAUGUGGGUUCCAUCUAUAGCUCCUAUGCACCCAUCAAAAUAUGGUGAGAAUUGAUGCAGCUUAGGAUGCACAUACCUGAACAGUGGAUCCAUUGGUCUAAUAAUAGUACGUGCAAAAGAGACCACGGCAUCUAACACUUCACCGAACUUCCGACUCACGGUGUCUAGUGACCUACGAAAUCUAUCCGACAUUUGUCUCUGGCAUUGUCUUGUGCCACAUGCCCAUAGGAACAUCCCUAAUGCCUCAACUGAAUCACAUUGUCGUGUGGAUUUUAGCCCAUGGUUGGACACUAAGAUUGAAUGCAACAACUGGAAUGCAGAUGGAUGGAGACGGAAAUUUUUGUAGCACUUCUUACUGUCAGCAAGGUUAAUAGCAACCCAUUGACGCCCAGUCAACUCCUGCAAGUGCAACGGACCAUCUUGCAUGCCACAUGCACUUGAGGUAGACGAUGCAUACGCAGCUAACACACCAAUGGUUGCACCCAUGUACCACCAUGUAGACCCCUCAUCGUUCAACCUUGCUGGUGAGGUGCUGGUGUUGCUCGAAUUUUCGGAGCUUGACUUUCCUUUCAUUUUCAGACCAUAACAGUGAUCAGUGGUCCCAGCUUCUGUAAUCAGCGAUCUGGAACAAAUCUGAUUCUUUGUUAAGCCUAGAUAUGCUAGUUUCAAGACGACAUAUAAAAAGCAUGCCAUGUUUUCUUAUCUAAGAAUCUCUAAAACAAAAUAAUAGCAUAUUCAGUACCCAUCUUUUAACAUGUUGUGCCCCUUUUCUUUUCUUUCAAAAAUCCUAAGUACUUAAAUAUGGAAAUAUGAUUUCAUUGCAUACCUUUACGAUCCAUUUGACCUUCACUUGUUGAUAGCCACCUCAUUCAUCGUGAAGACCUUCAGGCUGUAAGGUUGUAAACAAGAAUUUCCAAAAUGUUAAAAACAACAGUAGCAGCAUCAUACUCAAGUGGAACGACACAAAUUUAUAUGGAUUAGUAGCAUGAAUAAUCAAGGUCUAACACAACAUAAUUCACAUUACAAACAUGAUGCCACACCAUGCCAUAGUCACAGUACAAAUACACACAUUCCUAGGUAGAUGCAAAUACAUUGUAAUCAUGGACCGGUAUUACUUCCUCUUGACAUUAUCCCAAGUCCAUCGGAGCCAUGCAAUCCGGUUCUCUGAAGCGGUAAUGCUCCUAUAAGAUGCACGUCGGGCUGGUGAUCUAAACAGCUCAGUAGCUAUGAAGUACAACUCAGACCCAUUCGGUACACCAUCUUGUUCGACAAGGUGCAGCAUUUCCGUAACCUCCUCUUCCUCACGGCUGAUUAGAUUUCUUUCAUUCAUAGUCCUUUGAAUCAUGCUCUCAGAUAUACGCUCGACAUAGUACUCCAUGCUCUUAGUUCUCUUGGGUGAUGGGCUAUCAACAACAUGCUCCUUUCCGGACCUUUGCGACACACGACCCACACUAGACCGUCCAACAGUGUCCUCCAACCAGUCAACAUUUUCAUCCACCAUUGGGUCAGGGGUGUCUUCACUUCCACAGCUUGGUGUUCUAUCUUCAAUUCCACCAACACACAACAUUGGACCGCCUUCAAUGUCCGUUGUCCCGAAAAGAGUGGUUAACUCAUCAUAGAAUGGAAAUGUCUUGCCACGGAAAUAUUUGUUUGCCUCGUUCUCCUAGAAGUCAUAAAUAGGAAAUAUGUAAGCAUGAGGGCAAUCCGAGGUCAAAGCCGAAGGUAAAUGAUAGAAAGCCAUAAUUAUUAGGACAAAAAGUAGGUAACUCAAUUCGGGCUGCCCACCAUUCAUCAUCGCAAUCAAUGGUGCGGGUACUGUUGUUCCACCCGGUACCACUCUUGUCCUUUAGUUUCCUCCAAUCCUUGUAUUGCCUCUUAAAGGCAUUAAAUUUGUUCUGAAGCUGUUUGCAGGAAUAUUUCCUGCCCAUCUAUUGUUUGAAAUUUGUAUACAGGUUGUGCCAACCUACCUUGGUUAGGCCCCUUUUGUUGUAGUUGAGCUUGUUCUUCUCAUCAAUGCAAAGGUCUAGGAAUAUUUUUGUAGUGUUAUCAUCCCAAUUGGCACGACCUGCAUCCAUCUGUGUGCUACUUUGAAUUAUAUGCCUUCCUAAGUACAAGGUGCUACUUUGAAUUAUAUGCCUUCCUAAGUACGAGGUUUGUAUGCCACACACGCAGUAGCAAUGACAACAUGCAAGAUACGAAUCAACAUUUAUCACAAAGGGAACAAAAAAGAUGGAACUGAUGCUUGCCUCAUUGUGCUUACGUCUUGCAGGAGUUGUACACAGCAGGAACCGAGGGGCUUCAUGUGGAGACCAUGACGAUGUAGAGGAGUUUGCCAGUGCUGCUGCCUGUGGAAGUUUCUUUUUUUGGCACACAAGGAAUGCUCUCCUUAGCUAGAGUCGUAUUUACUACUGUAAAAAGAAUAUAUAAAGUGAGAAAAAUUUAAAAGUCAGCCUAAACAUUGUCAUAUUUUAAUGCAGGAAGUAAAUAGUAAUGAGCAAAAAAAAAGAAGAAUAAUAUUUACUGUCAAAAGGGAGGAGAGAAUUUACAGUCACCUAAUUUUUGCAGGCACUUCCCAAUUCCCACCCACUGAAUGUUACUGAGUGGAUUUAGUGGUUUCUAUCACUAAAACUAGCCACUAACAAGAUGAAAGCAGCAGCAGUGCAGAUGCAAAAUAGCAAUGCCCGUGGUGGUGAUGGCCGCAUUUGUGGCACUCCAGAGUAGCAGCAGUGCAGGUGCACCGUCCAGUUCAGUCAGAUAGAUGAGCGUCAGUUGAUUUCCGAGGGCAAGGCAGAUCAAGCUGGCAAUGCAACAUGCAGGCAGAGGUAGCCAACAAUGCAGCCCUUUCAAUUAGAGGUACUGGUCAGUGCAGCUGACAAAAGCACACCAGUAGUAUGCAAGUUCAGAGGUGGUCACUUGAGUUUCAGAUUUGGAACACUUUUGCCUCUUUCUAAAAAUGAGCAGUAAGUAAAAUUGGUGCAAUGGAUUGUUUGCCUGGCGUCUUACUGCCUAUUCUAGCAUAAUUGACCUGAACGCCCCUAAGGUUGAGCAUAGCUCAUGUUUGUUCUGAAUACAGGGAGUCAAUAAGUCUUAUAUAUUUUGUGUUUGCUAAAUAAAAAUUAUAUUACAAUACUACCAAAUGCAUAUAAAUAGAAAGAUAAUAAAUUAACCAAAUGAUAGAUCGGUCUAGUCCGAAACAUCUGUUGGAAACACGCCGGAGUAACUCCGAAACGUCUGUUGGAAACAUGCCGGAGUAACGACUCCCAGGUCGCCGGCGAGUCUCCUGGCCAAAGCACAGGGACACACACGCACACACAGGUAGACACUGAAUUGGUGCUUGCUAACUUGGCCCUCUUCCUUGGCCUUUAUGCCUUGUAUUUAUAGACUAUUACAAGGAAAGUAAUCAGGGCUUCAAUCAGCCCGAUGCACACAGCCACACAAUUGCUAACUGUCUAUUUGCCAGGGCUGUCAUGGAACAUUACAUUUCUGUAGAUGAUCAACAACCAUUACCAUGAGUUACCAUUACAACAAUAUGCUCCUGUCGUCCAACAUACACAAGAUGCACUUACAGUACAGAGCAGAAUAAUGGGAAGCCUUCACACUUCACACUAGUGUAGCUAACAAAAUUGAAGGCACAUGAGAUCUUACUGCCUACUCUACCAAAAUUGACUCAAUUACGCACGAUAUAAGAGGUUACUGCCUAAUGUAAGGCAAAAGAGAUCUUACCCCCAGGUUCUCUGUUGAGAUGCACAAAAUCUAGCAGCAUACAAAUGUAGAUCGAGAAUGGAGAGGAUUGGCGGAGCUGGGUGGACCGGCGAUGGUGGGACGGAGCGGCGGGGCGGAGGUCGGCGGGGGCGUGGCUGGCCGGCGCCGGGUGAGGGGCGGAGCUGGAUCGGGCGCGGACGGUGGGGCGGAGAGGAGGGGCAGAGAGGAGGGGCCGCGACGGCGGGGCGGAGGCCGGCGGGGGCGGGGCUGGCCGGCGGCAGGGGAGGGGCGGAUGUAGGUGGGGCGUCGACGGCGGGGCGAAGAGGGGCGGCGACGAUGGGGCGGAGUCUGGCGGGGGUGGAGCUNNNNNNNNNNNNNNNNNNNNNNNNNNNNNNNNNNNNNNNNNNNNNNNNNNNNNNNNNNNNNNNNNNNNNNNNNNNNNNNNNNNNNNNNNNNNNNNNNNNNCGGCAGGAGGCCCGAAAUUCAAUCUUCCCAUCGGAAUCUGGGAAAUGUAAGGCCGCGGAAAUGGGCCAGAGUCUGGCGGGGGUGGAUCUGUUUUGCGGCGGGGGAGGAUUGGAGCUGGGUGGGGCUUCGAUGGUGGGGCCGUGCCGGCGGGGGCGGGGGCGGCCGGAGGCGGACUGGGCGGCGGGCGCUGUUCGGGAGAUGCAGGACCUGGACAGGGAUUAAGUGCAGCUGUUCGGCUGCCUUGCUGGGCUGUUGCUGUUGGGCCGCAGCCGAACGGCUAGGCUGCACAGCAACAGCUGCAGCCGCCCAAGUAGCUUAAGCGAACGGGCCCAAAAAAAGACACGGGAGACAAUAUUCACUAGUAGAGAAUUCACCUUCUAUACGUCCCAUUUUGUCCCGGUUUAAAGUUGGCCCGGGACAAAAGGUUCACCAACCGGGACUAAAGCUCGAUCACUGGUGGGGGGCUCACCAACCAGGACCUUUUAUCCCAGUUGGAAAGGCUAGUGGAAAAAAAAACCCUGAGAGGCCUUUUAUCCCGGUUUGAAACAUCAACCGGGAUAAAAGGGUCCCCACGAGUUAAUACAAAAAGAUUGCAUCCCCUAUAUAGUCAGAUGUGCUGUGUAGGUGGGAUGGCAAGGAAGCUACGCGCGAGGGUGGAGGUUGCGGGUUCGAAUCCCACGCAGUGCGCACGCGCAUAUUUUGCGUGAAAAAUCGCGUGACUUGUGACUUGCGACGUGUGGGGGGCCCUCCCGGGAUUUCUUUUUUCUUUUUUGCAGCGGGGAUAAAAGGGGACCCGGGACAAAAGACCCCCCCCCUGUCUCGGUUGGUUUAUCUCCGGAUGGAUUUUCGGAAGAUUUGCAUCCUAGCAACCGGGACUAAAGGCCAAUUCUCUACCGGUGAUUAUUGUUACCUUGGAGAGAAUUAAAUGAAAGUUCCAGCAAUGUUAACCUAGUCAGAUUAGCUAUUGAACUUGGUAUGCUUCCAUAAAAAUUGCAACCUUGAAGAACUAACCAUUCCAACUCACUAAGCUGGCCGAUUGCAUAAGGUAUCAACGACCCAAAAUUCUGAUGGCCUAUUGGGCAAGGUGUCGGAGACAGAGAAUUAUAACCAAGAAUACGCAUGGAUUUCAAAUUAGUGAGGUUACCAAUUGCAUCCGGUAUUGGUCCUGAGAACCCACAAUUAUUUAUAUACAUGUUUCUCAAAUUUGUGAGUCCGCCAAUUGCAGCCGGCAUAGGCCCUGAAAACCAACAAUCAAUUAUCCACAUGAUUUUCAAUUUUUUUAGUUUGCUGAUUGCGGUCGGCAUUGGCCCUGAAAACCCAGAAUCAAUUAUACCCAUUUUCCUCAAAUUUGUGAGGUUGCCGAUAGAAGAUGGCAUGGAACCAUAUGUUGUGCAGCGAUCCAUUUCCAGUGUUUGCAAGUCCACGAGAUUCCCAAUUGCACAAAAUACUUCCCUAGGGAGGUUACAAUCAACCAUUUCCAAGCUUCUCAAGUUCUUGAAGUUGCUAACCAAGGUAGGCGUUAUCUCAGAGAAGUUACAUCCAUAGAGUGCCAAAUUCAAACUCAUUAGGUUCUUUUGCUGUCCAAUCCAUGAGAUAAUUGAUCCUAACUCAUUGAGUCCAGCGUGAGGUCCAACUGGCACAGGGACCUAAGUCUACCAAAUGAAGAGAGAAAAUCCACCGAUAAAUUCCCUCCGAGACUCAAAUGCUUCAAGGACUUGAAAUUAUUAGAAGGCAUUGAUCUGGCAUAAGAAAAGUUGGUCCAGUCUAGCCUCAAAGUCUCUAAAGAAUUUGGAUAAGAAAAGUUUGGCAAAUGCCCUCCGGAUUAUUGGACAAAUCGACAACUCUUAAUUUUUUUUUAUUGGAAGGGUUUGAUGGGGAACCGCCCCUCAAGAUAAAUACUAGAAAGUUGAAGCACAGUUAAAUUGAUAAAAUCCAUGAAGAUUUCUGGAAAUGGACCGGCAGUUAUAUCACCAUUUCUUUGGAGGUUGAUCACAACGAGAGAACGGAACCGCGAGAGAGACUCAUGAAUAGGACCACUCAGGCUGCAAGUGGCCAAGCUGAGUAUCUGAUGUCGAGGAACAUGUGUAGCAAGAGAUGUGCACCACUCUUCUCCACUGGUAGACAAAUCCACACUGUCAAGAUAGAGCUCUCUUAGAUUACUGAGGUUUGCCACUAGGGCAUCAAAAUCGGGUCCCCACAGAGAGUUAGAAGUGACAAUAUAGUAGGAGCUGUCGGAUGUGUCAUAAGCAUCAUCAUCAUCAUCUUCAAAGGACUGGAAAGAUCCAACGACACAAGGUUCACGAGUUUACCGAUGCCAAUAGGUAUCUUGCCACACAAGCCCAAAUUGGAGAGGUUAAGGUGAGUUUGUUGGAAAAAUAACGUGGUGGUCAAAAGACCGAGAGGAAAAUGGGAAGGAUAAGAUUGACGCCCGACUCCGACUCCCUCGCGCACGUCCACCCCGCGCCUCGAUCGGAGGUGCAACCGAACAAUUGGUUGCGGCCCCGAGCGACCCGGCCCCGAGCGACCCAACUCUAUAAGAGAAGGGGGCCGGUGGGUUUGGAACAUGCCAACGCACCAAACCCUACUCACACCCCCUACAUGCCUCCCGAUCACAGUGGCGUUGGAGUUGCUCGAAGGCCGUCGCCACACCACCAUUGCCGUCUGUGGACAGAAGAGGUGGAGACCUGAAGGGAGACGCAAUCUACUCCGAGCUAGUACACCUAUGGCACCCGUCAUCCCGGCCUCGUCCACGACCCUAAUGGCCGGAUCGUCACAAGCAGUGGCAGCUGGUUGUACUCUAACAUCUUCAUUGAGUGGUGUUCAUGUUCUAGAUGUGCAAAGAUCCUGUUUUAGUUAAGAUUAAGUAAUGUAGAUUCUUACAUUUGGUAUCAGUUAGUCAAUCCCAUCUAGACUUGGAUCCUAAGGCUGUGUAGAUUGAAUCUUAGUGUGCAAUUGAGUUGAAUUGUACUGGUUUUCUAUGUUCUUGAUCUACACAGUAGCUUUCUAGUACGAAUUGCUAUGCUAUUAGGCUUAAUCUUCUUCAGCUACAUGUCAAUGUUCAAGUUUUAGUUCACUGACUUGAUCUGUUAAGUCAGAUUAGACCAAAUUAGUUCUCAGUUAGCCUAAUUCCAUGCCUAAGCUACUAGAUCAGUUCUUAAUUAAGUCUAAAAUCAAGGUUAAUUAAGUCAAUUAAGUUAGUCUCUAUGUUUAAGUUCAGUUAUUUAGGUCGAGGUCUACUGUUUUCCCCAAACCCCACUGUCUAGCUCCAAUCUGUGCAAUUAAGUCCUCAAUCAGUAAAAUUGGACACGCAAAAGCAUGUAGAAGGAGAGGAAUUGGGCGAAUUUCAGGUCGAAUUAAGGAAAACCCAAAGAAAAUCCCCAUCAGAAAUCCUAACCCUAACUCAAGGAUAAGAACUUACCUCGAAUCACGACGGCCGCAUAGGGCAUGAUGGCCGCUGCGUGUGGAUGCCGGCGUGCACCUCCGCUGAGCCACACCGGCCAUAAGCACGCACAUGAACAAGUCAAGCCGCGGGCCCGGAUGCGCCUCGGUCUCCUUCCCGUGACCCAACCCGCGGCAUCAGAUCCUCCACGCACGAACCUGUCGACGCCGCGGCAAGCUUCAGGUUAGCUCGCCAUCACCGGUCUUGCGGCCGACCGCGCCUUCUGCUCAGUCACCCCCUACCAUGGAAAAGUGCUCCAGUGGAGCCCCCUGACGGCGCGCCGCGCGACUUGGUCGCAUGCACGCGCCGGUGGGAGGGCCCGCAGAGGCAUGGGCGCAGGGUGGCGGCGCAGCUCAUCGGCGGCUGCUGCUCGGGGUUGGGGCAGAAGCAGGCAGAGAAGAGGGGAGGGUUGCAGUGGAGACAGGCAAAAAUGGCCUAGGGUUCGGGAGAGGCGCAGCGCUCGCCGGUUUUGUCCCACCGAAACUCGCGCUCCGCCGUCGGAUGCAACGGAUGGCUUAGAAGAGCGCGGACAAGCGCAGCGCGCUGUUGGGCCAGAUUGGCGGCCCACCCAUUGGCUGCUGGGCUUAGAGUCUAGGCCGGCGCGAGGAACCCGGCAUGGGCUGUUAGCUGGGCUUACUCGGACCAUGAGAAGGCGCGGGCCCACUUAAACUCUGUGUGGCACGUGCUCUUUAGGGCCAUGAGGAAGGAACGCCGUGCGCCAUCGUUCUUGCACGAUUGGGCUGCCUGCGAGCAGGGCUUGCGAAGGUCGUUAGCUAGGCGCGGACUGGUUGUUUUGCGCUGGGCCGAUUUCGGCCACUAGCGGGCUGCUGCUUUUUUGGCUCGCACGGGCCGUCAGAUCGCUGGCAGGCCAGCGGGCCAUUUUGCGCUUGCAUCAGUUGGGCCGUCAGUUGAUAAGUGCGCACUUGGGCUAUUUCGGGCCAAUAAGGGGAGGUAGCUACGGGCCAAAAGUUGAGUUUGCGCUGGUUUUAAGAUUGAGCACGGUCCACUGUUUCUCCCAUUUGUUAUGCUAAUAAGUGUCUAAGUUGCACAUAGUUAAAUAAAAUAAUAUUCUGAUUAAAUUGAACCAACACGAAAUUUAUUUCACAAUUAUUUAUUAAGGCAUGCAAUUAAUUUCUGACCAAUGUUGAUAUUAAUUUGAUAUGCAUAAGUGUUUUAUUUAAGUUUUAAGUUAUUUUGCUUCCGCCCAACAGUGAUGCGAAAUUAAUUCAUGUUAUUUUAUUUAAGUUUUAAGUAUUUUGCUUCUUCCCAACGGUGAUGCAAAAUUAUUUCAUAUCAUUUUAAUUAUGUCUUUGCUUCUACCGAAUGGUGAUGCAAAGUUGUUUAUGUUUUUAAUCGAGCCAACGCAGAUUAAAUUUAUUACUUAUUAUUGUUAUCAUUACUAAUUGAAAUUCUCUCAUUUACUCAGACUUGACUCCAUCAAGCAUCAUAAGCUAUGUCAACAGUACAGAGAAGCUUGGAGGAGACAACUUCACUAAUUGGAAGAACCAGAUUGGAUUGGUCCUAUGCAUUAUGGAUCGGGACCACUUCAUGAGGGAGAAUCAUCCUGUUGCUCCGACUGCUCAAGGGGAUAAUGAUAGUACCCUUCCUGAGCGCACUGCUGCCUAUGAGAAGGAAAAAGAGCGGUAGGAGCGAUCAAACAGGGUGGCCCUAAUGAUCAUGGAGCGGACCAUAAACCUUGCAAUAAGGGAAGCUAUUGAGAAAAAUCCCAAAAGUGUCAAACAUUUUAUGGAGAAGGUUGAGGAGUACUUCAAAAGCUUCAGUAAGGCUAAUGCUAGCACCCUCCUGACUAAGUUAAUGAACACUAAGUAUGAUGGGCAAGGCAAUGAAAGGGAGCACAUCAUGAGCCCCGUUGACCUAAGGGAUAUGCUCAACGACUUGAAUUGCCCUCUUAAUGAUGAGACACUGCUUCACCACAUCAUGCUUUCGCUGCCCUCAGUGUUUGAACCCUUUAAGAUAAACUAUAAUGGCAGCAACAUGAAGUGGGAUAUUCCCACACUCAUCAUGAAGUGUUCUCGGGAGGAAGAAAGGCUCAGAUCAGAGAAAGGCAAUUUUGCCAACCUCAUCAGGCAUGAGGUAAAUAAGGGAAAAAAAUAAGCAAAUUGUCCCUUUUAAGAAAAUUAAGAAGCCUCAUCAACCUUCUCGUAAGAAUGAUGGGUCAUCCUCGUCUAAGGGUCCAAAAUGCCAUCAAUGCGUGGCCUAUGGGCACAUCAAGAAGCACUGUGAAAAGUUAAAGGAAUGGUGCAUAAAAAAUGGUAAUGAUGACUUUAUUUCUACAGUCGAUGAGUCCCUUUAUGUUGAUUUUUCAUUAAGUACAUGGUGGAUUGAUUCUAGGGCAACCAUUCAUAUUACUGAUUCCUCACGGGGAUUACAUGGCGCACAGACUAUAAGAAAGGGGACUCGCGCCGUUAAAGUUGCCAAUGGAGUUGAAGCUGAAGUUGAGGCUGUUGGAGAUCUCACUUUAGAACUUAGUAGUAUCUUUAGGCUUCAUUUAAGUAAUGUUCUUUAUGUACCAUCACUUAAGAGAAACUUGAUUUCUAUUUCAUCAUUAGAUUGUGAAGGUUAUUCCUGCAACUUUGGGAACAACAAGUAUGUAAUAAGUUUUGACAAUAAGAUUAUUGGUCAUGCCCCUUUACAUGAUAAGCUUUACUUGUUGCCUCUAAGUAUUAAUUCCUCUGUGACGAAUGUAAGCGAUGCCAACCAUAAGCGAAAGAGAAACAUUGAGACUUCGUCAAAAUUGUGGCACUUCCGCUUAGGCCACAUCACAUUUCGAAGGGGAGAAUGGAGCGUCUCAUUAGAGAAGAGAUACUUCCAAAAUUAGAUUUCUCUGACUUAGAUCAAUGCGUUGACUGUAUUAAGGGAAAAUUUGCAAAACAAAUUAAAAAGGAUGGAGCUAAGCAGAGUUCAGGAUUAUUAGAAAUAAUUCAUACUGAUAUAUGUGGUCCAUUUAAUGUAAGAUCAGUGGAUGGUUAUAAUUAUUUAAUUACCUUCACUGAUAAUUUCUCCCGCUAUGAAUACAUCUAUCCCAUACUCGAAAAGUCUGAAGCACUUGAUAAGUUUAAAAUCUUUAAAGCUGAAGUAGAAAAUCAGCAUGACUAAAAGAUCAAAGUGGUAAGAUCAGAUAGGGAAGGGGAGUAUUAUGGGAAACACUCCACAUAUGGACAAAUUUUGGGACCCUUUGUCAGAUUUCUCCGAGGUAAUGGUAUAGCAGCUCAGUAUUCCAUUCCUGGUGAGCCUCAGCAAAAUGGUGUUGCUGAGAGAAGAAAUCGCACCGUUAUGAACAUGGUGCAUAUUAUGCUAUGUAACUCUACGCUGCCAGUGAGUUUGUGCAUGCAAGCUUUAAAGACUGCCGCACACAUUAAUAAUUGUGUUCCUAGUAAGUCAGUCCCUAAGACUCCUUAUGAGCUUUGGACUAGUAGGAAGCCUAUAUGAAUUAUUUACAUGUAUGGGGCUGCGCAGCUGAAGUAAAGAUUUUUAAUCCACAACUUGGGAAAUUAGAUCCAAGACUGAAAGCUGUUAUUUUAUUAGAUAUCCAGAAAAGUCAAAGGGGUACCUCUUUUAUUGUCCUAAGCAUACCACUAAGUUUGUGGAGACAAGGCAUGUUGUUUUCUUAGAGGAAACUGGAUGCACUGAGGCUAGGAAAAUUGAUCUUGAGGAGAUUCGAACUUAUGAGCCGUUACCCAUAAGAUAGGAUUAUCAUACUCCUAUGCCAUAUACCACAGUUACAUCUCAGGUGGUGGAACUUCUAGUAGAAAAUGUGGGAGUAACAUCUACCUUAAGUGAUAAUGUAGAUGCACCUUUGAUAAGUGAGCAUCAAGGUGAGGAUGUGGUAGAACCUGCUGGUGGAUUGCAAGGGGAGGCAACUGAUGAGCCCGAGGUGAUUCAGCAGGAACCUGCUCAAGUAGAAGCACCACAGGAAGUAACACCACAACAUCUGAGAAGGUCAACAUGUGAGAGGAAGUACACCCGUUUCGAUGAGUAUGUGUACAUAAGUGAAGAAGGGCACAACAUGGGGAAGGUGGAUGGUCCAAACUCAUUUAAGGAGGCUAUAAUUAGUGAACACUUGCAUAAGUGGAGCGAGGACAUGGAAGAAGAGUUGAAGUCCAUGGAAGCAAAUAGAGUAUGGGACUUAGUAGAAAUUCCUGAAGGAGCCAAAACAAUAGGCUGUAAAUGGGUCUACAAAAUGAAAUAUGACUCUAAAGGGAAGAUCAAAAGGUUCAAAGCAAGACUCGUGGCUAAGGGCUUCACUCAAGUAGAAGGAGUCGAUUAUAAUAAAACCUUAUCGGCUAUCUCAAAGAAAGAUUCAUUUAGAAUCGUUAUGUCUUUAGUAGCUCAUUAUGAUCUUGAGCUACAUCAAAUCGAUGUUAAGAGUGCGUUCCCUAAUGGUGACUUGCAUGAGAAUGUAUACAUGAAGCAACCUGAAGGUUUUGUCGUGGAAGGCAAGGAAUAUUUGGGAUGCAAACUAUGAAAAUCCAUUUAUGGAUUGAAACAAGCAUGCAAAAAAUGGUACCUUAAGUUUGAUGAAGUAAUUAAGAGAAUUGGCUUCAUUGAAAAUAAGAAAGACAACUGCAUAUAUGUUAAGACUAAGGGGAGCUCUAUAAUCAUCCUAGUGCUUUAUGUGGAUGACAUCCUAUUAGCAAGCAGCGAUAAGAACUUGCUGCAUGAGACAAAGGGCUUUCUCUCAUUGAACUUUGAUAUGAAGCACCUUGGUGAUGCCGCUUAUGUCUUAGGCAUUGAGAUUCACUGAGAUAGGUCCAAGGGUGUAUUAGGACUCUCUCAAAGAGCUUACAUAGAGAAGGUCCUUGAAAGAUAUAAUAUGCACCAAUGUUUAGGCACAACUGCUCCAAUUGUCAAGGGCGAUAAGUUUGGGUCAUUCCGAAGUCCUAGGAAUCAAUUAGAAAUUGAUCAAACAAGAACGAUUCCUUAUGGUUCAGAUGUCGGAAAUAUAAUGUAUGCACAAGUGUGUACACGCCCUAACUUGGCCUUUAUAAGCAGGAUGCUUUGAAGCUAUCAGUCUAAUCCAGGAAUAGGCCAUUGGGAAGGAGUUAAGAAAGCUUUGCGUUACAUGCAAGCACUAAGAAUUACAUGCUAACGUAUAGGAGAACUGAGAAAUUAGAGAUAAUCAGCUAUUUCAGAUACUGAUUUUGAGGGUUGUGUUGGCACAAAGAGAUCCACAUCAGGUUAUGUCUUCACACUUGCAAAUGGCGUUAUAUCGUGGAAAAGCUCCAAACAAACAUUAACAGCUGCAUCGAUGAUGCAAGCUGAGUUUGUGGCAUGUUAUGAAGCUAUGGGACAAGCUGUAUGGCUUAAGAGUUUCAUCCUAGAAUUAAGAGUGGUAGACAGCAUAAGUAGGCCACUAAAAUUAUACUGCAAUAAUAAGUCAGUAGUUUUCUAUUCGAAUAACAACAAGUCAAGUGAUGCUGCAAAGCACAUUGAGAUUAAGUAUCUUGAUGUGAAAGAUAGAAUCCAAGAUCACACCAUUGAGUUAGAGCAUAUAAGUACUAAGAAGAUGCUUGUGGAUCCAUUAACAAAAGGCUUAUCUCCCAUUAUAUUCAGUGAACAUGUUGCCAGCAUGGGAUUAUCGGAUAGCUUGUGAUCUUGGAGGGUCAUAAGACAACUGCCUCCCAUCAUGAUAGGUAGUUUUAUACAUUGUGGACAACUGUGUCAUAGUGGGAUUUUAAUCAUCAUUGUCACACAUUAUCUCCCUGCAUAAUGCUGCUUUAAGAAUGGCAUAAAUUAUAGGCCUUUAGACCAAAGGGGAGAACGUUGGAAAAAUAACGUGGUGGUCAAAAGGCUGAGACGAAAACGGGAAGGAUAAGAUUGACGCCUCCCGAUCACGGUGGCAUUGGAGUUGGCCAAAGGCCGUCGCCGCACCACCAUCACUAUCCAUGGACAGACGAGGUGGAGACCUAAAGGGAGAUGCGAUCUACUCCGAGCUAGUACACCUACAACAUCUGUCAUCCCGGCCUCGUCCACAACCCUAAUGGCCGGAUCUUCACAAGCCGUGGCAGCUGGUUGUACUCUAACAUCUUCAUUGAGUGGUGUUCACAUUCUAGAUGUGCAAAGAUCCUGUUUUAGUUAAGAUUAAGUAAUGUAGAUUCCUACAGAGUUAACGAAGCCAACCUCUCGAUUCCAGUAGUAGGGAUGUUUUCUUAUGGCAUAUCUUGUGCCCCACUAACAUCACUCAUGCUAAGGUCAAGGCUAUUAGGCAAUGUAUAGCCGUAUAUAGCUGAUUUAUAGCUUUCCAUGUAUACUGAUUGUAUUCCUUGUAUACCAAACCAUAUUGGCUAUAUAAUAGAGGUCACCCCCCUCAUUAGGGUUCGUGGUGUUUUCCCAAACUCUAUCUAUCUACAUGGUAUCACAAGACCAGGAUCAAUCUGACAGGGACUUUCCUUCCGCUCCACCUCUCCCUGACGCGCCUAACCCUAGGUGCAGCUCCUGUGCGGUGGCGCUUCUCCCCUAGGCUGGCGCCCCUCCCCACCUCCCUUCCUCCCAUGGCCAAUGAUUCCUCUAUCGAGUCCUCCCUGUCCGGUGGUGGCCUUCUGUCCACUGGUGGCCCCAGGCCGGUGCCUGGCGAUGGCUCCCUGCCCAUCUCCGGUGACACCCCCCCCACUGGACUUGAACCACUGGGCGGCUAUGGCACCCUCCUUGGCACCGACGAUGGCCCUGCGUUGCCCCUUGGUGGCGGUCUUCUCCUCCACCAGGCGCCGUCGGCCAUCAUCCACCUGUGGCGGAACCGCCCAGAUUUACUUAGCUAAAGCACCAUUAAGUCACCUGACAUGCGAUCUUAUGCUUUAACCAAGAUAACUCGGCAGUCCGUUUAAUUUCGUCCGAUAAACCACUACACAGGACCGAGAAGCAGAGCUCACACGAAGGUGAGUGGUUCCAGAGAUUUCAAUAGAUCACCCAACUUAAACAAGUACCUUAAUUUUACAAACUCGGGUUCGAAAUUCCACAAAGUUUUACGGAGUUCUCAAGCAGCGGGAAAAUAUAAACCAACGGAAGCUAGCGUCAGGGGUCGGAUGUCACGAUGAGGCCGACCAUGACAUCAAUGGUCCCUAUCCUCACCGUCCGAGAAGGGAUCCCACUCGAUCGUCCACUCAGGAGGAAGCUGGGGAGGCCAAGUGCCAACAGCAGCAAACUCAGGAGCUUCAACAUCACCUGAAAAGAUUGUCACAACAAGGCUGAGCGACUACGCUCAACAAGACUUAACCGACCGUUGGGAACUACUCCACCAACUUCUAGACAUGCACGGCUCUUUGGCUGAGGGGUUGGUUUUGCCAACGCGACUAUAGUAGGUCCUUACUUUCAAGAUUUUAGACACAGGUUCUACUGUUGUUUAUCAUUCUAAGUUAGUAGCUAUACUAAUCAGGCAAAAGUUUCCAAGCAAUUUAUGACAAGCAUACAGGUUAACAUCACCAUCAAGUUCCAUUCUUACUUAGUGUAGCAUAGUGAUCAAGCAGUCCCAAACUGUGAGAGGCAGACGAAUUGAUUCGAAUAUCUUAACCAUGCAUGGUGAACCUAAUCUCACGAUAUCCGCACACCACAAAGGGUCGCUUCCUCUGUCGGUCGCACCCAUCAAUCCCUUGACCCGUGUCGAGCCCACUUCUCUUGGUACAAGGCUCCACAGACCCGGCCUCUGCCGUUCUGUGACCGCACUUGUCACCACAUGCGGCCGGAAGGGAAACUCUAUUCCAGAGACAGUGGAUCGAACCGCUCAUGUCCUGGUUCAAUCAGGUACUAGGCUUCCCCAUCCCAUACUAGAUAUGAGAUUAGUACUUUCAAACACUUGAUCGCGAACACCAUCACCUUUCGACCUUAAACCAAUUUCAUGUAGACAGACGGGGCAAUCCACCAACCACCAAAAUAGUUCACAGAGCCCUGCCCCCUCCAUCGUCCUUAUAGUUGUAACAAAAAGGAGAGCAAGCAACUCCUAUAACUCGCGAGUGACAGGGAAUCACUCGACUUUUACCGAGUCAUGUUAAGCAUUGCAACUACUCGGCCUAUCAUACUAGUGUUCAUAUCAAAGGGAACUAAGUCAUGCAUCUAUGGUUUCAAACAACUCCUGAAACGUAAAUGCACUUACAUACAACAGAAGGCAUGCGCAAGUUUAGAAAGACUGGGUGAUGCUCGGGGGCUUGCCUUCAAGUGGGGCGGAAGCAAACUAAUCUUCAACACUCUCGGGCUCAGCUCCUGCAGGCAGCUUAGCUACAACUUCAUCUUCGGGCACCGGGUGCAGCUCGUACGUGCCGUCGGCGAGGUUCAGCUCUACACGGAAUGCAAUGCAAGGGUGAGACACAGACGGUGAUUUCAACAACACUUGCAAAGAUUUAGCCCAAAAACUGUAGCAAAACUACAGGAAAAGUGUGAAACCCACGUCAUUGGAUUUUACUCAGAAAGAGGAUUCCAACCCAAGUGAUCUCACAUUUUUCUGAUUGUUCCCCGAUUUAAGAUGGAAUUUCCAAGCCUCUGCCGAUUUAGAACAAGAUAAAAGAGUCGGGUCAGGAAAAACUUGCAAUCUGACCCUUAGACCUAAGGAAUAACUGUACCGGGAUCCUUAGAUUUAACACAGAGAAGUCCUCAAAAUUUUACACAGAUGCCCUUGGUCAAAAGAAAAAGACAUAGCCGAGCCCUCGGGCGAGGCAGACAGGGGUCGGGCGAGACGGACAGGGGUUGGCAGCUCACCUUUGGUCCUACUGAUGAAGUCUUAGGGUUGGCAAGAAGCAAGCUCAGGCGGAACGACAAAAGGCGUUAAGUUUCGGGCGGCGGCGACGUCUGGCGGUGCUCCGGCAGUGGUGGUGCUUCUUGCGGACAACAAGCAAGUUUUAGCGCUGCACGAAGGAAAGCGAAGCGGUUGGCGGGGUCGGCAAGGCAGGGUGUUGGACGGAAGGGGGAGCUCCACAGAGAGCUCAGGCGGCGGUGCGUGAGCACGAAACAGAGGAGUGUGUGGUGGAGAGUGCGCUAGAGGAGAAACCAAGCAAGCAGUGCGGCAAGGGCAAUGGUGGCGAAGAGAACUCCCGUAAGAGGCUCUGGUACCCAUUUUAUAGCUGUGCGGAAGUGAACGAGAUCGAGCAGUGUGAGGAUAAGAUCGAGGGAGAAGAGGAGUGCUCUACCGUGGCGGCGAUUGGUCGGUGUCUCCAUUGGCCGGAGAAGCGGAGCUCCAGGGAUAGGAUCCUAUGGCAUUGGGCAAGGAAGACAGUGCUAGGCAAGCGCGGUUUUGCUGAGCAGAAGGAUUGGUGAGGUCGAGCGCGUGCUUGGUCGCGUGAAGCGCCGGAUUGGGUGCGGCGACUCGGUAUUGGCGGACAGGAGAGAGCGAGGUGCACUUCAGGCAAGGGCGCCGUAGGCGAGGUGACAGGGCGAGCGAUGCGAUGCGAGCAUGCGUGGAUUAGCGACUCUGCCGGGGCACACUACUGGCGAGGCGGGGGAAAGGAGUUGUCACUGCCUGCGCGGCGAUUGGCGAAGACGGCAGCGUCGCGGGGCGCACGUGGGCAGCGCGAUUGAGGUUGACGGGAGGGCCGGAAGGUGUUGGGGCGCGCGGCUGGGGGUCCAGGUGAGGCGAUGCGCACGGGAGGCGAGGCGGUACUGGCGCGGCAGCGGCCAAUCUUUGGUCACAGCGGCGGGUAGUGUGCCUGGCGCGACUGGCGAGGUCUCAGGCGAGACGAGACGGGGCGGAGAGGUCUGCAGGGUGCUUCUGCGCGCGAUUGGGAAGGAGGUGCUGAUCCAUCUUGUCGCGGCCGGCGACUGGGUGAGGCGGCGCUUGCCGGUGAGGUCACGCCAUGCGGCGGCAGUGCUCCGAAACAGGGCGCACGCGCGCUCUGGCGCUCUUUGUCCGAUGGAUCCGCGGGAUUCCUUGCCGGGCCCAUCUUCCAGCCUCUUGAUCUUCCGAUUUCCAAACUGCACCACAUUGACUCCCUUCACAAGGGUUGUAGAACACAGGCUAAGGUCCAACUUUUGUAAUUGGACUGAGUUAAAAAACGCGGUGGAUUUGGAGAUCCAAAGCUCCAAAGUUUGGAGGAACAUUGGUUUCAGGACUUAGAGAAAAGCGGCGGUUUGGCUGGUUUUCAAGGGUCAGGACUGAUUUGAGCUGCAGAUUUGGGAAUCUUCUGAGGCGAAUUGGACCAAUGUCCAAUUAACAAAGUUGUGGUAGGAACUUUGUUCUCCAACUUCUAUAAAGGGUUUUCUUGAUGUUCAGUUCAACUUUCCAAAGAUAAACCUUCCUUAAGGCGCUAGGUCAGGCUGAUUUUCCAGACUUAGCCAGAAUGGCUGAAGGAAGUCUGAGUUGACCAGACUAGGGGGCUUGUCUUAAGAUUAAACUCGGCUGAUUUAAAUCUAGGUCGUUACACCACCCCUACGCCACGAUCUCCGUCAAGGCUCACAUCCCCAUGAUGUUGACGAUGAAGACCUCCAGCUACUCCAAGUGGGUUUCCUUCUUCAAAUCCAUGUGUGGCAAGUUCGGCCUCAAGUCGCACAUCGACAGCACCGUGACGCCCCGUCCUGAUGACCCCGAUUGGGAUCAAGCGGAUUGCUGCGUCCUCUUCUGGAUCUUUGGCUCUAUCGUGGACCUCGCCAUGGAGGAUGAUGAGCAGACCGCCAGGGCCCUCUGGCUCACCAUUUAAGGCCUCUUCCAUGCCAACAAGCAAUCCCGGGCGAUCUUCCUCAGCUACGACUUCCACUCCAUGACCCAGGAGGACUCCUCCAUCUCGUAGUACUGCCAGCGCAUGAAGAACCUCGCUGACACCCUCCGUGACAUUGGGCAUCCCAUUCAAAACUCCCAGUUGGUCCUGAAUCUUCUCCACGGCCUCAACCCGCACUACUCCAACACCACCGACGACAUCGGCAACUCCCCCGCCGGCUUCCAGUCCUUUGCCCAGGCUCGUGACAUGCUCACCUUGAAGGAGCUUCGCCUCGUCAACUUGCUGCUCUACGUCGAUGACAUCAUCCUCACCGCCUCAUGUUCGACGCUCCUCCACCACAUCAUGGCUAGUUUUCAGUCCGAGUUCGCCAUGACGGAUCUUGGUGAUCUUCAUCACUUUCUUGGCAUCUCCGUGACGCGCUCCCCUGAUGGCUUGUUCCUGUCCUAAUGACAGUACACCCUGGACCUCCUCCAGCAUGCCAGCAUGGCUGAGUGUCACUCUACGACGAGUCCUGCUGACACUCAUGCCAAGCUCUCGGCGACCGACGGCAACAAGCUCAAGGAUGGCUCUAAGAAACCGCUGGAAGUUAAAUUCAACAAAAGUUCAAUUCGAGAAAAGUUCAAUUCAAGAAAAGUUAAAUUGUAUCACCUCCCCAGGACUUUGUUCUUUUGUUUUUGGUUCCCAAAGCACAAUUUCAUUAUCAGCACUCUGCAAAUCCAAGCUAGCAUAGAUCAGAUUCCUCAUUAUACAGGAACCAAAACUGGCACUGGGAAAAAAAAGGUUGAAAGACUGAACCCAUGCACAGUACAAGAAUACAGGAUCCAGAUACAGUGGUAUUUUGAAGCAUCAAAAGAAUGACGACUGUACUACUACUAUAGCAGCAAUUUGUAUCCAUUUAAGGGAAGGAAUUUCACCUCUGACAGGAUGAAGUCACCAAGCCAUCUUGUACAAUCAACAUAGUUAGAGUGUACUGCAGCAAUCAACACCUGCAAGGAAAGAAACAGGUUGGUUUGAUGGCAUGAGGAUUAAACACCAACAGUAGUUUGCAAAGGAAUAGAUCUAAGAUGAUUAUAGAUGCUAAACAUACCGGAAACUGGACAUAUUUUGUUGGAAACUUUGAUGGAAGGUCAGUCCAGGAAUAUGAUUUGUCAACAUAUUGCCAAAAUUCUGUGACAACAUUGGGAAACUCUAUCAAUGAUAUGCAGCAUGCAAAUGUAAACAUGAUGCUACUUUGAAGUAGUUUUCCAACCUUUCAUUGACCAGAUUUUCACAGUGUUGUCCAUGCCACAACUUGCAAAACGCUCAAUAUCACUAGGGUGGAAGUCCUUCAGCCAAAAUAAUGUAUUUUGGUCAGUACAUUUAUGCCUAACGUAAUGGAAGUACAAAAGCCGUAGUAGUCACCAGGACUAUAUUUAUCCCUGAUGUAAUGCUCAAUAACAAAUAGUAACAUCAGAAGCUGAAAGAGUGGUAGCUUCAGGGCACUUUGAGCAAGUAAUAUUCUGAAACAAUACCAUAAGAGGAGGCAGGAGCUACUUACAACACUCAACACUUCAUUGCGAUGACCUCAAGCUCCAGCAAAUACCAAGAUGCAGAUCCCUGUAUGGACAUUCCAUAGCCUAACAGAUUCAUCCUAUUCAAUAAUGAAUAAUGCCAUAUGAAACAGUGUCAGAACAAUUAUAACAAAGUACAUUCAGCCUAAGAACAGGUUAUCUGCUAACCUUGCUUGCAGAAAUGAUGAGCGAAGGCUUCAACGCUUGAGUCCUUAUCUCAUUUAUUGAGUCACCAUGGCCAGCAAAGCUCUGUAGAAUUCCAUAAACAGAAAUAACAAAUAAACACGUGCACAGUCUAAUUCAUAGGAUAGGAUAGUAUUUAUUGGCAUGCCCUGUCUCGUGACUAUAUGUAUAACGCCAAAAUAGAUACACUAGGUUGAACGUGUCUUGACUAUAACGGACAUGCUGAAGUAUCCAAAAACCAGAAUCUUCUGUGAGCAAAAGUUACAGUUUGCUAGUGGUAUUAAUGCAUAGCAAACAGACAAUUCCUUAAUCAAACCAAAUUCAAAUGACCUUCUGGAUCGGAUAUCAUAGAUGGUAUCUGUCAGGUAAGCAACUGAUGUACAGAUUUGUGCAAAUGAAGCUUCAUUCAAGUUUGACGUAGUAACAAAGACAAGGCUAGGGGUACUAUACCUUAGCUAACUUCUCCGUAGCACAGUUGAUGACCCGAAUGAUCCCAUUGCCUCCUGCUGCUCAAUGACUCCAUUCUUGGUGACCAGUGUGGCAUCCAAUGUAUCAAUCAGCUCUUCCUUCUUCUUGAGCAAGGCGUUCUUCUCCUCUAUCACCCUGUCCCUAGCCUUCAGUGCCUCCUCCAUCCGAACAACUCUCACCUCCAGCGUGACAAUCCUCAGCGAGUCCCUCUUGUCGUAGGUGUCCGGUGCAGUGUCCACCUCGUGCUACAGGCGACGGUUCAUCCGGUCCAGGUCAGUCAAAUAGUGCUCAAGUCCCAUUAUCUUGCCCUCAAGUAUGGCGUUGGUACCGAUGCAGUUGUCCCAACCAUUGUGAAGUACCUCCACCUCUCUGUCAUUCCAGAACAGCGCCAAGUCCUGAGCGUGAAUACAGCGGGAGGCCACGCAAAACUUCUCGUUGGGCUCUGCAUAUGCGUCCUCGUAGUACUGAUGGACUAAACUCUCGAAAUCCCUCAGCCCACGGCAAGCCCUGGUUAGGCAACGGUAGGGAGUCUGAGCCAACCUGUCACGGAGCUGCGCAUGCACCUCACACACAGCCCUUCUGGCGGCAGUCCGGUGAGCCGUUGACACUGACAGCUCAAACCCAAGUAGAAGAAUAAGCAAAGUCUAGUCAGAAAUAGCGGUAGUCAACAGAACUGUCCAUAACCAGUGGACACGGAUUAUAGCUACAGCUUUAUACACUCUGCAGAGGAUGUACAACUAUACCCACACGGAUGGAGUCUAAACGGUGGCGAUCCGUCGAAACCCCACCUAACAGCCGGAGCCCUAGUAGGUGGAUAGCUCUGUCAUAUUUCCUCGAGUCUGGAAUCAUCCUUAGCUGCAGGGCACGCCGUCACCAGUGAGCACCUCGAAGCUAUGAAACCUACCCAUGCCGGGGUGUAGUCUGGUCAAAGCAAGCCAACGCCUUGAACUCAUUACAUGAUCCUCCAAUCUGCCUAGAGGCUGAGCACUAUCCACCACUAGUCUCGAACCGAACUCUGCCCAUAACGUAAGCGAGCGGUAUCUACGUAAAAUAGUUGCUGUGACUAGUGGUAAACUGACUCAGUGCUUAAGCGGCUGAGAGCGAGCACUCUACUCCACAAGUAUGUGCCGAAACACAUGCAACAUAUAAGUACGCUACCUGCUCCUCAGUAACAAACAAGGUACCCACCACAGGUACGGGGUAUAGAGAGAGUCCAGAAUGCUCUCUCCUAGCAAGGCACUCCUUAGUACCAACCAUGGCGCUCCCGCCAAAACAUAUCAAGGAGUCACACUCACCCAAAACUCAAGCGAGAGUGUUCAAUGAAUCCUAUCACCGAAACUGUGGCAUAUGCCCAUCCAUAACUCAAAAGCAUGUAUAUGGAUAUAUGAGCGGUGGACUAGCUAGGGGUCUGUAGCUAGUCCACAAAAGUAGGUAACAAGGAAAACAGAAUACAAAAUUAUCAAGGCAUGGCUAAAAAUAUUGGCUAUGCAAUCCAACAUCAUCAAGCAUCAUAAAUAAAGCACCAGCAACUAAGCAUGCAUAUGAUCUAUGUGAUUGGGAGUGGCAUGACACCUUGUCCGUAGUUGUUUGGAUCUUCCUCGGCAUAGUCGGAGUCUUGAGGGUCUUCUGGGUCGUAGCUCGAGUCUGAACAGACCAAGAUAUGACAUAAAGUAAAUUAAAUGGCAUUACAACUAGGAAGAAACUCCAAGAAAGCCAAAUUUAGUAGAUCCAAAUAACACCAAACUAGUUACAAACAACACGGGCUCCAUUUUACGAAUUUAAUGCAACUGGUUCCAUAUUUUUCGCAGUUAAAAUGAAUUAGUUAUGAAUUUUUUAAGAUUAAAGGAUUCAUUUAAUUAUUUAAAUAAUUUUAGAAAAUAUUUAUUAUUACAGUGACAUGUGCCAGCGCUUGGUUGUGCCAUGUGGGAGCAUAAGAGUGCGCCACGUGUCUCCUAACGCCAAGCUAACGUCAGCGUUGACCGGUCAACAGGGCCCCACCAGUGGGCCCGAGCCUCGGACAUGUCAACGCCUCGUGGCUCCACGUGGCAGCCACGUGGCACUGCCACAUGGCGCACACGUGGUCGUCCCCAGCUGGCCGGGAUCCGCGCGCCACCCGCGUGUGGCCAUGGGUGUGGUGCAGGCCUGAUUGGCUGCGACACAGCGGUGACUGUGCCCACGACGUCAUGGUGUGGCGCGACGUCACGGCGCGGCUGCUGCACGUGUGCGCGGGCAGGAGGUAGUCCCGGCCGCGGCACGACCGCGGCGGCGUGCGGGGUCCCGGGCCCGCGGUGGCUGGCAGCGAGGCGAGCGGCGGCACUACAACCGUGGCUCGAAGGCUGGGCAUACGACAAGCAAACAAGAGGAAAGAGAGGGGCAACGAGGUUCACUGCAGGGAGACGGUGAAAUUGGGCGGCGUCGGGCGGUGGUCGACAGCUCAGGCUCCUCCCUCAGACGGCCCCUCUUCUUCUUCUUCUCUUCUACUUCCCCUCCUUCUCUUUCCUCCUCAUCUCCUACUCCUCCCUCCUCCUCUACUCCUUCCCCCUUCUCUCACUCGGGUGGUCGAUGGCGCAAGGGCGAAGCCCCGAGUGGAUGGCGAAGAGAGGCCCCGAGCGGCUCUACUUAUAGCGGAGAGGCGGCUGUGUUCCAGAGGGAGGUUGCGGCAGCACUUUAGGGUUUGGGGGCGUGGCGUCGGUGAUGUGGAUGGCUAGGAUGUGGUGUUGCAUGGUGCGGGUGACGUGGCGGCCAUCCGAGGCUCCCAGCACAAAAGCAAGGGUGCGGGCGAGGUCAUGGGUGCGCACGCGAGGCGCGCGUGAGCGGUACGGCCGGAGGAAGAAGGAAGAGGAACAGGGGCACCUCACAGGUGGGUCCGGUGCAGCAGCAAGAGAGAAAGAGAGGGAGAGCGGGGCGCGGGUGGCGACUGCGGGCUGGGCCAGCUGGCCGGUUAUGAGGCCUGCUGGGCUGGUCACUGAGCUGCGCGGGCGAGGCAGCUGAGCGGCGCGGGCGAGGUGGCUGAGCAGGCCAGGCCGGCUGUCUGGCUAGGCCGGGGUGAAGGUAGGUGAGGGUGAGGCGCGAGCGGGCCAGGCCGGUGGGCUGCGGCUAGCCUGGUUGGUUAGGAGGGUUAGAUAGGUUUUGUUUUUAUUUAGAUUUAGAUUUAGUUGGAGUGUUGAAUCAAAUUCAAAAUUCAAACACACACUCAAACAUGAGAUCCAAAUAAAAUCUAAAAAGAUCCAAAUCAUUCCACACAAGUUUUGAAAUGGAAUUUUGGGACGAGAAGAGAAUUUGACUACCAUUUUCAAACAAGCACACAAUUCAAACAAAAGUUUUAAAUUUUUGGAAAUUUUACUUAAAUAAAUAUUACAAAAUUCUGGAAUAUUACAAACAUAACCACUUCACCUCGUACCCCGAGAAAAGCGAUACGAAGCUUAACACUCCUCGACAUCUGGGAAAUUUGGUCAGAACGAAACUCUAGAUUUUUCGGACUGUGUGAGUCAUCCUUGAUUUCCUUGGUGGCAAAAAUUAAAAAGGAAGCUUAAGUUUUGUAGGUCUUUUGGAUUAAACCAACUUGGUAAGCUAUCACCCCAAAAGCCAUGGACAUUCAAUUCUCUCAUGAGGGCACAAGCCAUCGAUCACUUCAUUCUCACGUGGUGUCGGCUCGAAAACUCUGGGAUUAGUUCGCCAGUUCAGCUCUAUUUCCUUGAGGUAUUUCUUGUCAACGAGUCUAGCCUCAGCAGCCUGUUCCUUGCUCCUCACAGUAUGAAUAGAAUUAAUGCAUAGCAUUCCGCUAAGCUGAUUCAUGCCCUUCAGCUCACCAAUUGCCCCCCUCCGUGCUUCGACUGUGAAAUAUCUCAAGUUCCUUUAAUAAGUCAAUAGAGGCUUUUACUGGAAGUGCUAGUUGACGCAAGUUGAUUAGCUUUGUUACAUCCUGACGAAUUGUUCUCAGACAUGAACCAAAUGCAACAACAACUUGUAGGCUGUUAAGGCACCAGAAUUUCGAUGGCACUUCAUUUAUAUUGCUGUAGGAUAUAUCAAGAUAUCGGAGGCUAUUCAACCCACAUAUGCUUUGGGGUAGACUUUUCAGCUUGCAACCUUUUAGGCUCAAAAACAGGAUGUUAGAAAGCUGACUGAACCAGGUGAUCUCAACAUCCAAUUCGGUACCAAACCUAAGUGAACGCAGUUUGUUCAAAUUUUGAAUGUUUGUCAUUGUGCCCAAGGACUUACGUACCAUCCACCUCGAUUGACAUGUGGCGAGGUUUAUUUGUCAUUCCGCUCAAAUCUUUCAUCGAGAAACAUUCAUGGAUAGAAACAUACUGCGCAGUAUCAUGGAUCAGGUCAUGCAUUACGUAUUUAUCUUGAUUAGGGAACUUUGGAUCAGUUUGGAAAAGACACCUGCCUCUCAAAUCAUCCAAAUACUUCAUCCCGACAUCUUCAAGACGCUUGCUCACUUGUGGUGAAACAAAGCCCUCUGCCACCCAAAUGUCAACGAUCUCAUGUCUUUUGAAGCUAUAAUCUUUCGGAAAUAUGGAGCAAAAUGCAAAGCAUCUCCUAAGUUCAGUUGGGAGGUACAAGUAGCUCAGUCGAAGUGCUGGUAAUAUGUCGCUAUGUUUUUGUUCUUGCUCCCAUAAUUCACUGUCCUUGAUAGUCCUCCAAUGUUGCUCAGUCAGAUUACUAUUCAACAAGCGUCCGAGAGUUUUGGCAGCCAAAGGAGUACCAUGCAACUUAGAGGAAAUGCUCUGACCAAUCUCUUGUAAGCGAGGAUAUGACUCUGGGCACUCUUUACCAAACGCACAUUUCUUGAAAAAUUCCCAAAAUACACCAGCGGGCAAUCCUUCGAGCUGGAGAGGCUUACAACUGCAUUUGGACCAUGCGGUGACAUUCUGAGCAAUGUUUUUGUGUCUUGUAGUCACUAAGAUCAUGCUACCUUCAAGUCCAUUCUUCAACGGUGCAUAAAAAGACUCCCAUUGUGGUAAUUUCCCAAAUAUCAUCCAGCACCAAAAGGAACUUUUGGAUCUUCAGCAUGUGCCACAGAUCUGCUUCAAGAACACCCAAACCACAAGACAAGUCGAAGUUUGGCUGGAUGAUGAUCUCCUUUUUCAUCCUUUCAAUGUCAAACAGGUCCGAAACACAGACCCGUAUCCUUACAGUAAAGUGGCCUUCACUCUUUCAUCACUGUCGAUGAGCUGAGCCAGGGUGGUCUUCCCCAUCCCGCCAAUGCCAAAAAUUGGCAAGACAGAAACAUUGCCACAGUUAGCAGUCUCAGCAAGCCCUGCACUGCUGUUACUGUCAAAGUUAAGUCGCUUGGCUUUGGAUGUAGAUGCGAUGGCGUCAUGACUUGCUGCUUCUGUGCCUUUUCCUUUAGACCCUGCAGAUGUACUGCCCAUAGUGAGUGGCAUGCCCAUUUGUGAGAUCACCUGAUUAAUUUCGGCAGCACGAUCAAUCGUCAGAGUCACACCCAGCAUCUCCAUCACUUGAUCCCUUUCCGUGUCACGCGGUGAUGAGUUCAUUCGUUGUUGGCAUGCAUGACCUGCACUGGCUGAACACGAUCAAGACCAAUCAAGCAUAGCACUUCUUUAACUUCAGCCAUAACCUUGUGGAGCUGAUCUUUGGUGUCCCUUAUCCUUUUUACUGCUAGCAUGGACGAGAUGUUUGGCAAUAUUCAGAGAGGAUGAUGACACGAGUUGACCUGCCCUGCUCCGGCUGGCGUCCUCAAUCUUGUGCCGCAGCGCCUGGUCCUCGAACUCUCGGUGGAGGUCCUCGGCGUCGUAGGUGGUGUACUUGUGCUGCAAGAGAUGGGCCUCCACCAUGCCCCACUCGCUGCGACUGAUGAGCAGCUUGGUCUUGAGUUGGUCCAGCUCGUUUUCCAGCUGGGUCGGCGCUUGGCUCAUGCUCAUCCCGAAUGACAGGAUGCCUUGCACGGUGUCCAUGGUCGCGCGCGCUCCUAGAUCUUGGUGCGUUGGUGGAGCUGCUCGUGAAGUCGUGAUGAUGGUGCUCCUCCUCCUCUUCCUCCUGCUUGGCACAGGGGCAGAAGGGAGCGAUUACCUGAUGAUGGUGCCACCGAUUACUGGCCUUCGCCCUCCCAACACCGGACUGGUGAUUUUCACCGGAGGGAUCGUAAGAGAGAUCGGGCAGAGAGGUGUAGGAUCAAAUUGCGUGUGCACCCAACGUGGAAUGGCGCUGGAUAUAUCUAGCUACAUGGUUGCAUGCCCUGCCGAUCUGGGCAAUCGGUAUUGCAUUUGCAGAUUUGCUUCGGUUUCAUCGAUGAUCCCUCCGGCGUUGGUUUCUUCGAUCGGUCCUGUCUUGGGUUCCAUCGAACUUGAUCGAGCUGUCUUGAGGCCGGCGGAGUAACUAAGAGAUCCAUUAUUCAUCGGGAUAAGCUAGGAUCGCAGGGGCUCGUUGCGGCUGCGGGCGUGGACCACCAUCUCUUCCUGCCUGCCGCCGGCGGCCGGCGAGUGCAAGACUGGUAGGUUUAGGAGAGGAAAGGCCAAAAGGCGUGAGCUGUGAAGGAAUGGACCUGGCAACCGGGUGCGGCUUGUGUUGUAUCUUGGGCCGGUUGGGCCGAGUGCAAGUUCCGGGGCCUCCUCGGUGGUGGUUUUGUUGGCUGCAAACUGAUGAGGCCUCGUGCCUUGGCUGCGAAGAAGACGGCUACUCAAAAGCAUUUCUCCCCCAGCAGCUUGAAACGGUCGCCCGCGGACAGCAAGCAAGCGUUCGCGAGCCUGACCGUGCACUGUACAGCACAGGACAGGGAUCCAUGCUUUCCGGCAACACCCAUCGGCGCCAGGCUUACCCACCAGUACACCUGGCACCUGCUGGCUGUCCAGCUCCAAACCUCUCCAUCACAAGACAGAGGUCGUCAAUGGCUUCUUCGGUUUGCAACAGCACAGUGGACAAGAAAAGCAGGGGCAAAGCUACAUUGGGCUAGCCGAGUGAUUAGUAACUAAUUUUUACCACUUGUGCACUCCCUAACCUCCAAUUUCGUGCACCACUGUCUGGCCCACCAACAACCUGCAGCCCAGCAGUUAGCAUAGGCCAGCUUUCAGCAACCCAUCAAGCCCACGAUGCACUAUAGGUGCAUGCAGCUGCGGGCCUGCCGCAUCCGCCCGCGUGCGUUGCACGUGACAAGUCCUCACGGAGAACACGAAACAAUCGUCCGCGAAGCCCGCUCGCUCGCCCAAACGUGAGAACUCAUCGUAGAAAGGCGGCGGAAGAGAGGGAGGCGGCACUCGCGCGUCGCCGUGUCGCACCAUCUCCAGUCGCUGCGGUACGUCUCCUCGCCGGAAUCAGCACCCCCAACCUUAAGCGAUCAUCAUCAACUCCUAUUUUUUUGUUUCUCUCCAUUGUUGCACUGCACAUUCUUCUAGCCUCCCCUUUUGCUCAAGCCCACUCCACUCGAAUGGUACACAAUUAUUUUUCUCACAUGUGCUUUUGUGCCAAUCAGCUUCUUUGAAGUAAUCCGUUAGUGUUUCAAUUUCAUGGUUACUUAUUCUCCUAUAUUCAAUUGAAUUGUAGGGUUAGGGUUUGCAAUUGGGGUUUUACUUCUACAAAUUGCAAUGAAAGGGCAAAGGAGAAGGAACUUAGGAAGGAUUCAUUGAGAUUUGAGACUCAAGAAAUAAACAAAAAUCAUGUCAAGUAAGUUUAUGGGUGUUUGGUCAAUUAAUCAUUUAUUUUUCUUCCCUUGAUUCUUGAACAGAUGAACAUGAGAAGCAUUAAUGUAACUGACAUUUUAAAAAAAUGUGUUAUAUGUGUGUUUAUGGAAAGAUGGUUAAAAAGAAAAGCGCCAGAUGAUGCUAACAAUUUUUGGUAAUUCUCAUCAGCAAAACAACAAUAUUAAUGUUAAUCCAAUACCACCAGCUCCAGAAGAUAUCGAUUGGGAGGAGGAGAUCCAACUUCAUCCUGGUAAAAGAGAAGAAAUACGUUCUUGUCACCCUAAUCUUAGAGAAUCGGUAAGAAGAAUGUACUUGGCAAAUGAGCCUUGUCAGCUCGCACUCUUAAUUUUUCAUCUACUCGGAUUGGGGAUAAAAAUUGAAGGUUUAAUCUUGAAUGGUUUGAUGAAUUUGGAAACUGGCUUGAGUACAGUGAGUCUACCGAUAGAGCCUACUGUUUUACCUGUUUCUUGUUUAGAGACCCCACUAAGAAGGAGGCUGGGUACAAGUCAUUUAUUUUAGAUGGUUGGAAUAAUUGGUAUAAUAAAGAAAGAUUAAAGGAGCAUGUUGGCAGUGUUGACAGCUAUCACAAUGUAGCAACGAAAAAAAUGUGAUGAUAUGUUGAAAAGAGAAUAGCACAUUGAUGUUAAGUUACAUGAACAGCUUGAGAGUUCUAAGAAUGCAUAUUUUGUUCGACUUAAUGAUGCAAUUGAUACUAUCAGAUUGCUACUCAAGCAAGGACUACCUUUCCGGGGGCAUGAUGAAUCAAAGACAUCCUUAAACAAAGGGAACUACAGGGAAGUUUAUGAUUGCUUAGCUCAACAUGAUGCAGCUUUAGCCAAGGCAUUGACAAUUGAUGCUGCAUAUAAUAGUAUUUUGGUAUCUGCUGACAUACGGAAAGACAUCAUCAACUGUUUUGCAGAUGAUAUUUUACAUUCUAUCCUUGGAGACAUUGGGAAAGAUGUAUUUUGCUUGCUAGUUGAUGAGUCUAGAGAUGUCUCUUUCAAAGAGCAAUUGGCAGUGGUGUUAAGAUAUGUUGAUAAAUGUGGAUUUGUGAACGAGAGCUUUGUUGGUGCUAGCAAUACGCAAGGUGAGUUCAAUGGCUUAAAAUCUUUGAUCAUGAGAGAAAAUAGUAGUGCAUAUUAUCUCCGUUGCUUUGCCCAUUAACUUCAAUUAGUGGUUGUAGCUGUUGCUAGAAAGCAUACAGGCAUUGCUGAAUUUUUUAACAAUAUCUCUAUCUUAUUGAAUGUGGUUGGUGGAUCUUCAAAGAGAAGGGACAUGAUUUGAGAUAUCAAUCUCAAAGAAGUUAGUAAGGCCUUAGGCUGUGGGUUACUUAGUAUCGGGACAGGAUUGAAUCAAGAACAAUGUCUUCAAAGACCUAGAGUCUCACUAUAAAUCUCUUAGAAGUUUAGUUAAAUUCCAAAUAAUUAUCAAAGUGCUUGAAUUUGUGGAAAAGGAAGGCAGGGAGGGAAAGGCAAGGGUGUUCUUAGAAAAGUACACUCAUGAACGGGAUGAAUGAUACACGAGUUCAGCGUCACCUAGUCAAGCCGGAUUCCAGAUUCCAUCGUACUGACACUUGCUGCGCUGCUUUGCUAUCUAUUAAUUCUCCUCAAUCUAUAGUAACAGAUAACAACUCUGUCCGCAGCAUGAUAUGGAAAUUUUCUCACACUGGCGGGUACACGAUGGCUUCAGCCUAUAGAGUGCAAUUCAUUAACUUCACCAAAAAAACACAAAUCUGCGCAAUCUGGACUUCUUGCCCCUCUCCUAAAUGCAAAUUCUUCGUGUGAUUAAUCCUUCAUAACCAUGCUUGGACUUUGGAUCGGCUUGCUCAAAGAGGAUGGCCUCAUAGCCCAGCUUGCCCCCUCUAUAAACAGAUAAUGGAAUUCUCUCUUCACCUGCUGGCCAAGUGCAGAUUCACUAGGAAAAUUUGGAGUCCUCGUGGCUAUUUAGACAAAGCAGCCAGUACUACACCCACUGGAAUGGGAACAAAGCUACAAUACCUUGGAAUGGUGGACCAACAUUGAAAUGGACCUGAAUUUUCAUUUCUGAGAAUUCAAGCCUACGCACCUCCGUGAUAGUUCUAGGAGGCUAUCACGUGCGAAUCCAUGUCUCAGAUAGUACAAAUUCAUACCAACAUAGAAAUAUAAAGCAACAACAUAGUACCAUAUCAUAAAUAUCAUAAGUAACAAGUACAUCUCUUCGGUACAUGCCAGAACAUGUCCAUCAGGAUUGAAUCAGAAAGGUAAAAUAUCUAUGCAGCGAAAGCGUAAGCUACGGCGAACUCCAUCUCCAGAGGCGACUCGAGCGAAGGACCAUCCCUAGUCUUCCUAUCCAUCAUUGUCGAAGUCGUAGUCGGGCUCCGACCCUAAAAAGCCACCAUCUACUCGAGAAGCGGGUAGGCCAUGUCAACUCCCAAAAGGAGCAAGCUAAGGAAAUGGGGGAAUUAUACUAUAUGCAUGAGUAAAACCUAUAUAUGGUUGUAGAGGUGUAUGCAACAGCAGCAUCAAUCAAGGAAGCAGCAAAGCAUUACCAUCUUCGAGGUCAACACCUCAAAUAAGGAAGUUGGCACAAAUCACCAGAUCCUUCGCCCAUGGGUCCAGCAUCCAACACACUAGUCGAUGUGAGAGCUCCCUUCCCUCACAUCUCAAUGGCAAACUCCAGCCUAUCUCAAAAAGGGGAGGUAGAAGAAUAAGCAAAGUCUAGUCAGAGGUAGCGGUAGUCAAUAGCACUGUCCAUAACUAGUGGAUAUGGACUUUAGCUAUAGCUUUAUACACUCUGCAGAGGUUGUACAACUGUACCUGCAUGGAUGGAGCUUGAACGGUAGUGAUCCGUCCAAACCCCACCUAACAGCCGGAGCUCUAGUAGGUGGAUAGCUCUCUCUUGUUUCCUCAAGUCUGGAACCUUCCUCAGCUGCAGGGCAUGCCGUCACCAGUGAGGACCUCGAAGCUGUGAAAUCUACCCACGCCGGGGUGCAGUCUGGUCAGAGCAGGCCAACACCUCGAACUCCUUACACGAUCCUCCAAUCCGCCUACAGGCUAAGCACUAUCCACCAAUAGUCUCAGACCGAACCUCGCCCAUAACGUAAGUGAGCGGUAUGUACGUAAAAUAGCAGUUGUGGCUGGUGGUAAAUGACUCGAUCCUUAAGCGGCUGAGAGCGAGCACUCUACUCCACAAGUAUGUGCUGAAGCACCUGCAACGUACAAGUAUGCCACCUGCUCCUCAGUAACAAACAAGGUACCCGCCACAAGUAUGGGGUAGAGAGAGAGUCCAUAAUGCUCUCUCUCGGCAAGGCACUCCUCAGUACCAACCAUGGCUCGCUCCUACCAAAAUACAUCAAGGAGUCACACUUACCCAAAACUCACAUGAGAGUGUUUAAGAAAUCCUAUCACCAAAACCAUGGCACGCCCAUCCAUAACUCAAAAGCAUGUAUAUGGAUAUAUGAGCGGUGGACUAGCUAGGGGUCUGUAGCUAGUCCACAAAAGUAGGUAAGAAGGAAAACAUGAUAAAAAAUUAUCAAGGCAUGGCUAAAAACAUUAGCUAUACAAUCCAACAUCAUUAAGCAUCAUAAAUAAAGCGCUAACAACUAAGCAUGCACAGGAUCUAUAUGAUUGGAAGUGAUAUAAAGCACUAGCAACUAUACAUUGGCUUGCCCGUAGUCGUUUGGAUCUUCCUCAACGUAGUCGGAGUCUUGAGGGUCUUUCGGGUCGUAGCUCGGGUCUGAACAGAACGAGAUACGAUGUAAAGUAAAUUAAACGGCAUUACAUCUAGGCAAAAAUUCCAAGAAUGCUAAAUUUAGAAGAUCCAAAUAAUACCAAACUAGUUACAAACAACACGGGCUUGAUUUUAUGAAUUUAAUGCAAAUGGUUUCAUAUUUUUCAGAGUAAAAAUGAAUUAGUUAUGAAUUCUUAAAUAUUAAAGGAUUUAUUUAAUCGUUUAAAUAAUUUCAGAAAAAAAUUAUUAUUAUGGUGACACGUGUCAGUGCCUGGUUUUGCCACAUGGCAGCACGAGAGUGUGCCACAUGUCUGCUAAUGUCAGACCGGUAACGGUCAACGUUGACCCGGUCAGUCAACGAUGACCUGGUCAACGUUGACUGUCAACUGGGUCCCACCGAUCAGCAGUGGCCCCACAGGUCAGUGGGCCCUGCCAAUGGGCCACCAGUGGGCUUGGGCCUCGGACACGUCAUCGCCUCGUGACUCCACGUGGCAGCCACGUGGCCAUCUAGUCGACAUGGCACUGCCACGUGGCCGUCCCCAGCUGGUCAGGAUCCGGUGUGUCAACUGGAUCCUGUGUGCCACCCGCAUGUGGCCACGGGUGUGGCGUAGGCCUGAUUUGUGGCGACGUGGCGUGGCGGGGCGUGGCGGUGACUGCGCCUAUGACGUCGUGGUGCAGCGCGCCAGCUGUGCGUGCGCAUGGGCAUGGGGCAGUCCCCGACCACGGCACGACCGCGGUGACAUGCAGGGUCCCGGUGUCCUAGGCCCACAGUGGCUAGCGGCGAGGUGAGCAGUGGCGCUCCUAUGGCGGCUCGAAGGUCAUAUGACAAGGAAACAAGAGGAAAGAGAGGGGUAGCGAGGCUCACUGCGGGGAGAUGGCGAAGGCGGGCACUGUCGGGCGGCGGUCGACAGCUCUGGCUCCUCCCUCAGAUGGCCCCUCUUCUUCUUCUUCUCCUCUACUUCACCUCCUUCUUCCCUUUCCUCCUCUUCUCCUCCUCCUCCCUCCUCUUCUGCUCCUUCCCCCUUCUCUCACUCGGGUGGCUGGCGGCGCAAGGGUGAAGCCCUGGGUGGAUGGCAACAAGAGGCCCCGGGUGCCUCUACUUAUAGCGGAGAGGCGGCUAGGGUUCCGAAGGGAGGGUGCGGCGGCGCGCUUGGGUUUGGGGGCGUGGCGCUGGCGACGUGGACAGCCGGGAUGCGGCAGCGCACGGUACGGGUGGUGUGGCGGCCAUUCGAGGUCGCUAGCGCAAAAGCAAGGGCGCGGGCGAGGUCACGGGUGCGCGCUCCCAUGUGGGAGUGUGUGCCAGCACGGACGGGGAGGCGCGCGUGAGCGGUACGGCUGGAGGAAGAAGGAAGAGGAACAAGGGCACCUGAUGGGCGGGUCCAGCGCGGCGGCGAGAGAGAAAGAGAGGGAGAGCGGGGCGCGGGCAGCAAUGUGCGGGCUGGGCCAGCUGGCCGGUUAGGAGGCCUGCUGGGCUGAUCACCAGGCUGCGCAGGCGAGGCGGCGGAGCAGGCCAGGCUGGCUGGGUCGGGGCGAAGGCGGGUGAGGGUGAGGCGUGAGAGGAUCACGCCGGUUGGCUGCGGCCAGCCUGGUUGGGUAGAGGGUUAGACGAGAUCCAAAUAAAAUCUAAAAAGAUCCAAAUCAUUCCACACAAGUUUUGAAAUGGAAUUUUGGGAUGAGAAGAGAAUUUGACUACCAUUUUCAAACAAGCACAAAAUUCAAACAAAAGUUUUGAAUUUUUGGAAAUUUCACUUAAAUAAAUAUUACAAAAUUAUGGAAUAUUACAAACAUAACUGCUCCACCUCGUACCCCGAGAAAUGCGAUACGAAGCCUCAACGUCUGGGAAAUUUGGUUAAAACGAAACUCUACAUUUUUCUCGGACUGUGUGAGUCCUCCUUGAUUUCCUUGAUGGCAAAAAUUAAAAAGGAAGCGGCUGCUUGGGUGGGGGCAGGGAAUACUUGUGUCCCACCUUACAUUGAACAACAGAGCACAAUACUUGUGUCAGUAUAAAAAAAAACUUGUGUAAGGCCAGCUACACAAGUUAGCUCGCAUUUCAUAAUUAAGUUUCAGAUUUCGUGCAAGGCCAGAUACUUUAGCACUGCACUCUUGAUGUACCGAAAGGAAGAUUAACAUAUAAGUACAAUACCGAAGUAAUGACUAUGGAAAUAGGCUUAGAAAUACAACAGAAGCUAGGUACAGUGCAAUAAACCUUAGUGCCUCAUCAUAGCUCCCUUAGCUUCCAGGAAAGUAUAAUGCUGUAUUUGCAGAGAAAAAAAAUAUCACCUUCUAGUGGUGAUCAAGUACGCGAGACUCUUGCACUUGCAAUAGAAAGAUCUGCCAAACCGGUCCCAUUUGACCACAAUAGCAGCUGCAAAGCCAACGCCGAAGCCAAGCCCAACGAAGAGAAACAAAACCACAUCAAUAUGACGAGAUGACUUGUCCCCAUGUGCCACACCUGGAGAGUGAGGUGAACUACCACAAGGAAAUUUUGGCAAUUGCAGCCCACACAAUCCAGCAUUCCCUUCAAAUGAGCUGCUGUCAAAUGUAGAGAACUGACGUGACUGCGGUAUCUUCCCCACCAAGUGAUUGUAUGACAAGUUUAGGGAGCCAAGAAAGGUGAGAUCAGUUAGCUCUUGUGGAAUGUCCCCUGAGAGUUGGUUGCAGGACAGGUCUAGUGACUCCAAAUCAGUCAUGCUUCCAAGUUGGGCUGGAAUUUUUCCAGUGAAGGCAUUGUGUGACAGACUCAGUACGCGUAGUGAUACAAGGCUUCCAAAUGUUUCAGGAAUAGUACCCUCCAAACUAUUUUUUGAGAAGUCAAUUGCUGUUACGGUAGUCAGCAUCCUUCCAAAUGGCAUAUCUGCCCCCUUGUACAUGAUCUCAACAGAAUAUUGAUAUAAAUGUUCUCCGUUAUUGAUAGUUAUAGUGUCUAGAGUUCCGAGAGGUUUCCCAGAACUAUUAAACUCUGCCAUCAUUGACUUUAACUGCUCGAACCAUUGUGGCCUCAAAGUACCAGAGAAGUUGUUUGAGGCAAGAUCGAUAAUUUGCAAGCUAGGGAAACAUUCCUCACAUUUUGUGUCCCCAACAAUAUCACCUAUGGUGCCAUACAUUUGGUUUGAUCUCAGGACGAGUACAGAAAGAUUGGGAAGCCCCCUCAACCAAGAAGGAAAAGCAUCAGCUAUUUUGUUGCUUCCAAAGUCUAUAACCUCCAAGUCUGUACAGUUAGAAAGGCCCCUAGGAAGCCUCCCUUCGAUCUUAUUGCCAUGUAAAUCUAUCGUCUGUAAAUUACAUCUUGUUGUUAUAUUGGAAGGCAGCAUCCCUUUCAAGUGAUUCUCCCUCAAAUUUAAAAAACUUAAGGGGGUAUUUUCUAUAAAACAAGGUGGAAUCGGGCCAUUAAAGUAGUUAUAUGAUAGAUCAAGGACAUCCAGCUCUGUGGCAUUGCAAAUUGAGGGAGAUACAUGGCCGUGUAUAUUAUUUUUGGACAUGCUGAGAUAAAUGGUGUCCCGAAGAUAGGUGGUCCAGUUUGGCAGAAGGGAAGAGAACAUGUUGUUGGAAUAAUCCAAGACUUGUCCUGAUAAUUUUGGCAUAGGGAUCAUCCCUGAAAGUCUAUUGAAACUAAGAUCAAGC
rnacentral:lncRNA from 1 species